UUCAGGGAUUAUAAUGAAGCACAUAAGGUGAGGUUGAACGGGAAGUAUAUUGAGCUUCAAUUAACUCGGAGGUUUAUGGCAGAGGUGGUUACGUUGCCUAGUCCGCUUGUUAAGCGCAUUUUGGAGAAAAAUAUGGAGGAGAAGAUGCGUGUCGGUGAAAUUAAAGAAGGUGAUUCGGUUACUGUUGACCUUGGUUCUGAUGGGAAGAUAUUGGUUCUUGACAGUAGAAGCGGUACUCUGGCGGAAGAGGCUGAGGAAGGUAGCAGUGGUGCUCCGGCAGAAGAGGCUCCGGCAGAAGAGGCUGAGGAACCAGUUAUUGUCUAGAUGUGCGCCCCAUUGUCCUUUUUCCUGUGGUGUUUAUUUAUUAUUAUUUUUUUAUCGUUCUGGCUAUGUUGAGGUGACUGUGUAGAGCCAGUGCAACGAGAAUGAUUUAGAGUGCUCUUUAACUUCAGAAUCGUUCUGGCUGUGUUGAGCUGACCUCCCAGUUGUUAUAGUAGACUAAAACUUUCCUAUGUAAACAAUUUAUUUUUAAUAAAAGUUUAUUCGUUCGAGAAUUUGCAUUUGGUUAUUAGUCGCCUAUAAUUUGAAAAAUGAUUAUUCAAUAUAUUAAUUGCAAGAGUCCAAAUAUUGUAAUAGUAUUUGAGAUGUUGUGUUAAGUUAGGAUGUUGUACACGUAAGAUCAUUUUUAAAGUUCGUUUAGAAUAUUAAGUUUAUAAGCUUAAUUGGGAACUUAUAAACUUAAUAUUCUAAACGAACUUUAAUUGUGUGUGUGAGAGAGAGAGAGAGUGAGAGAGGCGGCGGAAAAAAGCUGAGCCGCCGUGCCAAAACCCUUAUUGGUUUUACCGCCAAAAGCCUCGUCAAUUUCGUUCUGUCCUUGAUUUUGUUUGGUUGAUUUACACCUUUGUGUUGAUUUAUUCCUGUAAAUCUAUCUUAAUUUUUUUUAAGUUUAUGAUAAUUAUAGAAAAAAAAAAUUAUUAUUAUUUUAAGAUAAAUAGUAUAUGAUUCUUCAAGAAUUAUUGUUCUUUUUAUGAAUAAACAUCAACCCAAAUCAUUUGUUGGUUCCGAUUAAUUCAUGAUUCGUAUUUUUAGAGAAAAUUUCACUUUUUUUAAACUUUAAAUUCUAAUUAUUAAUAGGUGUUUGAGACAUUACUAAGAAAAAUCUCAAAAUAAGUUUAAAUAAUUCCGCUUGAAAGCCAUACAACUAAUCGAGCUCGAGUCAGAGUUCAUCGAACUUUAAUUAUUAUUAUUUUUAGUUCAAAUAGGAUAGUUGCCCAAAAAGCUUAAACCUUUGUAUCAUAAGUGAUGAUGAUAGCAUUGAUAAUAAUGUAUAUUAAUCAAUAUAGAUUAUAUAACAUUGACUCGUCCUUAGUGAACUCAUCCAAUUUGGCAUAUCUCAUUAAAAAAAAUGAUUAAAUAAGAUUGUCAAGAAAAAGAAGACUAAAACUUUAAAAGUGGGUUAGAACUUUAAACAUUAAAUACUUUAGAUAGGAAUCAUUAUGUAGCCAUUUCAUCUCAAUAUACACUAACAAUUUUCAAAAGUAGGUGGUGUUUACUAUAAGCUUAUUUAAAAGCAGAAGUUAAUAAUUGUGAGUUAAGUGAGUAUUAAAUGUUUAUUUCAAAAAAUUGGGGACAUUUGCAAAUAUGUUAGAAAAUCAACUUAAAUAGAAAAAACAAGUCUAGAGAUGUUUUUAAAAAAAUAGUUUAAAGCAACUUAUUUUAGGAGAAACAUGAACAAAAGCUAGUUUUACAAACACCGAGAAACAGAUUAUGAGCAAAAAAAACCUCAAAAGCUGCUUCUAAAAAUUUUAGCAAACAAGUGAAUGAAACAAAUAUUUAGUACGUGAAGAAAUAAUUAAAGGGCUAAACCUAUUUAAGCCCAAUUAGUAAAUUGGGCUCAGUGUUCAAAUCCGGGUCCUUCAAACGACCCACUUUUAAAACGGACAUACAAUUCGGAUCGUACCAGAUUCCCAAUUUCACAAGGCCCAUCUUCUUCUUCUGCUUCACUAUUUUCCAAAGCGUGCCCCUUUCCAUUUCUCUCAUUUUUUUUCUCGCUCAAUCCUCCGCUGUUCAUCCACUCGCUCUCGUUCUUCUUCAUUUAUUUUCAACGCUCUUACUCAGGUAAAUCCUCUUUUCCUUACUCUUUAAUUCAUAUAUAUUCGUCGAUAACUGCCGAUUUCUCACAUCUAGGGUUCUUUUCUCGAUUGUCUGUUAGAUUUAAAUCUUUGUGGCGAAUCGAGUGUUAGUCUUGAUUUUUUUAUGAUUUAGAUUCUUCAUUUUUUGGUUUUUUUUUUUAAAUCUGUUUAUUGCGUGUGAUUUUAUGUUUAUUGAAGCUUGUGUUUAAUUUAGGGUUUAUGUUGGAAAAAUUUGGGUCUUUAGUGGGAGUUUUGCUAAAGAUCUAGACUUGAGAUCUAGACUUGAGAUGAUUAUAAAGAUCUAGACUUGCCGCCACAAUGAUACGAAUUAGAAGCUAUUGUUUUUCUGCGGUGCUGGUCAAUUGUAAUAGGAUUUGAGUUUCGCCGUGGUUUUGGCUUUCUGAUUGCUUCCUUUGUUGUUAGAGUUUGAAAUGAUAUCAAUUUCAUUCUAAUUUGAGAAAAUGCCUGCUGACUCCUUAAUUUCAGAUAUUUGAAAAAAAAAAUGUUUUCUUUUAAAACAGAAUUGGAUGCUUGUAAGAUUGUUUACAUUGUUGAACCCAGAAACAAAAUUAGUCUCUGCAGAUAGCAUUCUAAAAGCCUCUCAUUAUUUGAAAUAACAAGCAGAUCACCAGUGCUGUAUUUGUUGGUAUUCUGUGGAUGUUGAUGCAUUCAUUUUGGCUAUUUCAUAUCUAGAAAUGCUAUUGUAUGUUUUGGUUGUUUUCUAAUUUCUUUAACUUAUACGCAGACCACUCGGGUGCAGACAUGAUUGAUCGUUUUAUCGACAAUACGAUGUUCAGGGAUUAUAAUGAAGCAAAUAAGGUGAGGUUGAACGGGAAGUAUAUUGAGCUUCAAUUAACUCGGAGGUUUAUGGCAGAGGUGGUUAUGUUGCCUAGUCCGCUUGUUAAGCGCAUUUUGGAGAAAAAUAUGGAGGAGAAGAUGCGUGUCGGUGAAAUUAAAGAAGGUGAUUCGGUUACUGUUGACCUUGGUUCUGAUGGGAAGAUAUUGGUUCUUGACAGUAGAAGCGGUACUCUGGCGGAAGAGGCUGAGGAAGGUAGCAGUGGUGCUCCGGCAGAAGAGGGUGAGGAAGGUAGCAGUGGUGCUCCGGCAGAAGAGGCUCCGGCAGAAGAGGCUGAGGAACCAGUUAUUGUCUAGAUGUGCGCCCCAUUGUCCUUUUUCCUGUGGUGUUUAUUUAUUAUUAUUUUUUUAUCGUUCUGGCUAUGUUGAGGUGACUGUGUAGAGCCAGUGCAACGAGAAUGAUUUAGAGUGCUCUUUAACUUCAGAAUCGUUCUGGCUGUGUUGAGCUGACCUCCCAGUUGUUAUAGUAGACUAAAACUUUCCUAUGUAAACAAUUUAUUUUUAAUAAAAGUUUAUUCGUUCGAGAAUUUGCAUUUGGUUAUUAGUCGCCUAUAAUUUGAAAAAUGAUUAUUCAAUAUAUUAAUUGCAAGAGUCCAAAUAUUGUAAUAGUAUUUGAGAUGUUGUGUUAAGUUAGGAUGUUGUACACGUAAGAUCAUUUUUAAAGUUCGUUUAGAAUAUUAAGUUUAUAAGCUUAAUUGGGAACUUAUAAACUUAAUAUUCUAAACGAACUUUAAUUGUGUGUGUGAGAGAGAGAGAGAGUGAGAGAGGCGGCGGAAAAAAGCUGAGCCGCCGUGCCAAAACCCUUAUUGGUUUUACCGCCAAAAGCCUCGUCAAUUUCGUUCUGUCCUUGAUUUUGUUUGGUUGAUUUACACCUUUGUGUUGAUUUAUUCCUGUAAAUCUAUCUUAAUUUUUUUUAAGUUUAUGAUAAUUAUAGAAAAAAAAAAUUAUUAUUAUUUUAAGAUAAAUAGUAUAUGAUUCUUCAAGAAUUAUUGUUCUUUUUAUGAAUAAACAUCAACCCAAAUCAUUUGUUGGUUCCGAUUAAUUCAUGAUUCGUAUUUUUAGAGAAAAUUUCACUUUUUUUAAACUUUAAAUUCUAAUUAUUAAUAGGUGUUUGAGACAUUACUAAGAAAAAUCUCAAAAUAAGUUUAAAUAAUUCCGCUUGAAAGCCAUACAACUAAUCGAGCUCGAGUCAGAGUUCAUCGAACUUUAAUUAUUAUUAUUUUUAGUUCAAAUAGGAUAGUUGCCCAAAAAGCUUAAACCUUUGUAUCAUAAGUGAUGAUGAUAGCAUUGAUAAUAAUGUAUAUUAAUCAAUAUAGAUUAUAUAACAUUGACUCGUCCUUAGUGAACUCAUCCAAUUUGGCAUAUCUCAUUAAAAAAAAUGAUUAAAUAAGAAUGUCAAGAAAAAGAAGACUAAAACUUUAAAAGUGGGUUAGAACUUUAAACAUUAAAUACUUUAGAUAGGAAUCAUUAUGUAGCCAUUUCAUCUCAAUAUACACUAACAAUUUUCAAAAGUAGGUGGUGUUUACUAUAAGCUUAUUUAAAAGCAGAAGUUAAUAAUUGUGAGUUAAGUGAGUAUUAAAUGUUUAUUUCAAAAAAUUGGGGACAUUUGCAAAUAUGUUAGAAAAUCAACUUAAAUAGAAAAAACAAGUCUAGAGAUGUUUUUAAAAAAAUAGUUUAAAGCAACUUAUUUUAGGAGAAACAUGAACAAAAGCUAGUUUUACAAACACCGAGAAACAGAUUAUGAGCAAAAAAAACCUCAAAAGCUGCUUCUAAAAAUUUUAGCAAACAAGUGAAUGAAACAAAUAUUUAGUACGUGAAGAAAUAAUUAAAGGGCUAAACCUAUUUAAGCCCAAUUAGUAAAUUGGGCUCAGUGUUCAAAUCCGGGUCCUUCAAACGACCCACUUUUAAAACGGACAUAGAUAUUCGCCGAAGCACCACGAUUCUGAAACGCAACAAAGAUAAGGCAGAGAAAUCGUUUGAAACGUCUACAGAUGUCUACAGUUCUCUCAUUUUUUUUCUCGCUCAAUCCUCCGCUGUUCAUCCACUCGCUCUCGUUCUUCUUCAUUUAUUUUCAACGCUCUUACUCAGGUAAAUCCUCUUUUCCUUACUCUUUAAUUCAUAUAUAUUCGUCGAUAACUGCCGAUUUCUCACAUCUAGGGUUCUUUUCUCGAUUGUCUGUUAGAUUUAAAUCUUUGUGGAGAAUCGAGUGUUAGUCUUGAUUUUUUUAUGAUUUAGAUUCUUCAUUUUUUGGUUUUUUUUUUAAAUCUGUUUAUUGCGUGUGAUUUUAUGUUUAUUGAAGCUUGUGUUUAAUUUAGGGUUUAUGUUGGAAAAAUUUGGGUCUUUAGUGGGAGUUUUGCUAAAGAUCUAGACUUGAGAUCUAGACUUGAGAUGAUUAUAAAGAUCUAGACUUGCCGCCACAAUGAUACGAAUUAGAAGCUAUUGUUUUUCUGCGGUGCUGGUCAAUUGUAAUAGGAUUUGAGUUUCGCCGUGGUUUUGGCUUUCUGAUUGCUUCCUUUGUUGUUAGAGUUUGAAAUGAUAUCAGUUUCAUUCUAAUUUGAGAAAAUGCCUGCUGACUCCUUAAUUUCAGAUAUUUGAAAAAAAAAAUGUUUUCUUUUAAAACAGAAUUGGAUGCUUGUAAGAUUGUUUACAUUGUUGAACCCAGAAACAAAAUUAGUCUCUGCAGAUAGCAUUCUAAAAGCCUCUCAUUAUUUGAAAUAACAAGCAGAUCACCAGUGCUGUAUUUGUUGGUAUUCUGUGGAUGUUGAUGCAUUCAUUUUGGCUAUUUCAUAUCUAGAAAUGCUAUUGUAUGUUUUGGUUGUUUUCUAAUUUCUUUAACUUAUACGCAGACCACUCGGGUGCAGACAUGAUUGAUCGUUUUAUCGACAAUACGAUGUUCAGGGAUUAUAAUGAAGCACAUAAGGUGAGGUUGAACGGGAAGUAUAUUGAGCUUCAAUUAACUCGGAGGUUUAUGGCAGAGGUGGUUACGUUGCCUAGUCCGCUUGUUAAGCGCAUUUUGGAGAAAAAUAUGGAGGAGAAGAUGCGUGUCGGUGAAAUUAAAGAAGGUGAUUCGGUUACUGUUGACCUUGGUUCUGAUGGGAAGAUAUUGGUUCUUGACAGUAGAAGCGGUACUCUGGCGGAAGAGGCUGAGGAAGGUAGCAGUGGUGCUCCGGCAGAAGAGGCUCCGGCAGAAGAGGCUGAGGAACCAGUUAUUGUCUAGAUGUGCGCCCCAUUGUCCUUUUUCCUGUGGUGUUUAUUUAUUAUUAUUUUUUUAUCGUUCUGGCUAUGUUGAGGUGACUGUGUAGAGCCAGUGCAACGAGAAUGAUUUAGAGUGCUCUUUAACUUCAGAAUCGUUCUGGCUGUGUUGAGCUGACCUCCCAGUUGUUAUAGUAGACUAAAACUUUCCUAUGUAAACAAUUUAUUUUUAAUAAAAGUUUAUUCGUUCGAGAAUUUGCAUUUGGUUAUUAGUCGCCUAUAAUUUGAAAAAUGAUUAUUCAAUAUAUUAAUUGCAAGAGUCCAAAUAUUGUAAUAGUAUUUGAGAUGUUGUGUUAAGUUAGGAUGUUGUACACGUAAGAUAUGUUGCCAAGAAUGACCAUUUGCAGAAAAAAAAAUUAAAUUAUUAACUAGAACACUUGGAGUAGAUGUUUUACAGUGACAAUCUUCUAAUGUUACCAUAGUAACAGAAUAUAUUUUGGCAUGAGGAUUCACUGCAUAAUGUUAUCAUUUCAAGUCAACUCCUAUGGUAUUUUUCUAGUUUUUGUCAGAAGUAAUAUUCUAAAUCGUAGUUUUCUGUGUGGAAUUUUAACACAGGUUGGUAUGGCUGCUACUCUAGCUGGGGUGUGCCAGGUACCCCUCACGGCAGUUUUGCUUCUUUUUGAACUAACACAAGAUUAUCGAAUUGUUCUGCCACUUUUGGGAGCUGUGGGACUCUCUUCAUGGGUUACAUCUGACAAGACAAGGAAAAGAGUCACUGAUAAAACCAGCAAAACGAAAGACCAAAACGUUGUAGCAACUUCACCAGAGAGAUAUUCUUACGACUCCACUGUUAACUCUACUUCUCCUAAUGUCAAGGAACCAAACGGUAGUAGCCUUUGUGAACUCGAGAGUUCACUCUGUCUGAAUGAUGAAUCUGAAGAUGAAGCGGAUGACCUGGCAAAUGAAAUCUUGGUCCCUUCUCUGUCAUUGAAGAACAUCUGAAUACGAUUCUUCCAAAUUGUUUUGAUGCAAUUGGUCUGAUGCUCAUGAUUCGCAUUAUAUACCAGUACCAGGUGAGAUGCUGCAGCAAUAUGCCAAUAUCUGAUCGUGUUUAAAUUUUGUUUCAAAAAUCAUUCCAGCUUCAUAAUGUGAACCGAGUCCAUCUCUUCCAUCCUUCCACAAAUUUACUGUCAUUUGUGGAUUCAAGUUUCAUGUUUUCAUAUUUAAUCUUGUGUGAUUUUUUUUCCGCUGUUGAAGCUUAUAGAAGUUUUUAUUGAAUAUGACAAACACGUUGAAUCUAUUUCGUUGAGUAUUUCUUUACCAUCCUAUGAUGAGAACAGUCACAUGUAAUGAGGGAUCAAGGCAGUAUAUCAAUCCUUAGAUUCUUGUGAACAAGCCAAAUUGUUUUCUCCAAUUAAAGUUUCUUGGAGUUGUUUGCCAUCAUUAUGGUGCGCAGUAGUUUCUAUUAAAUAGAGGGGUAGACUGGGUUCAGCAGACUAAAUUGUUACCCGAACUCCUAAGCAUUUGUUUUGUAGCUGUAGCAGUUCUCCAACUCGGGCAUUUGUUUUUCCUUCAGUAAACUUUGUUGCAAGUUUGUUUUCAUUAAGAUUUUUAAUUUGCAACCAGUAAGUGUUGGGACAUGAAUGACAUCUGCUUAUUGUUUUCAAUUUCUAUGAUUAAAAUCUCGAGUAAAUUUGUACUAUCCACAUUUGUUUUCUCUUUUCAUAGCUUUUGAUUUUCGUAUUUUUUCCUUCUUAGCUUAUAAUGUCUCGGAGGCGAAUACCGUGUCUGGAUUCAUACUUGGAUAAGGUAUGUAUAAUCAACUUCACUAAGUGAAUAUUUGCUUCUGAGACCUACUUUGUGGUUCCACCUGUGAUUUCUCCCUACAUGUGCCCUGAAAUGGUUUAUAUGAUCUAAAAUUUGCAAUCUGGAGAAACAAACUCUUCCGUUGAUAGAAAUCACUGAAACAGUUUCAUAUGAAUCUGAGCAGGUCAACAUUUCGUUAUGGCCCCGAUUUAAGAUGGUGUUUGACAUGCACCUCAACAGCCUUAGAAAUGCCAAUGUCCGCACUUUGUGGGAAGAUGAUGUGCAUCCUCAUUAUGUAAUGAGGCGUUAUGCUGAAUUUACAGCUUCCCUAAUCCAGCUUAAUGUUGAUUAUGGAGAUGGUCAGGUUAGAAACAGACCGUAGUUUCUCAGUCCUUGCUAAGUUUUGAUUAUUAGACUUUCAACAUCACUUAUUUUUAUUUUUAUUUUUUUGGGUGUAAAAUUGGCUACAUUCUCAGCUUGAACUCAACUUGGAGAGAUUGCGAAUGGCUGUAGAUGAUUUACUUGUCAAGCUUGCCAAACUAUUCCAGAAACCGAAGUUGCAAACUGUAUUUUUGAUAAAUAACUGCGACAUGACAAUUGCUGUAUUGAAGGUAAACUAUGAUAUUCAAGUCAAAUAUGAUCCAAAAGGUGAAAUCCAAGAAUUUAUUAGCUCCUUGAAUUUAGAAGCAUGUUAGACGUUCUCGUAAAAUGUAUUCACAAAUAUCUCAUUACACCUACAAAUGUUUGAAACCCAAUUGUUUAAAAAACCACAAGAGAACCCCCCAUCCCACAUCUACACACACAACUACACACACAAAAGGGAAAAGGAAAUCUUGGCGGUUCCACUUCUUAUAUGUUAGAUACAAUGUAUACACAUGCACAUGCGAUACAAUUGGUACAUAACUUAAUUAUUUGUUCUGUAAUAAUUUGCAUCCUAUAUGUUAAAUGUUGGUUGUAAAUAUUUUCAUGUAUGUCUCAGGAAGCUGGUCCUGAGGGGAGCAAAAUUCAAAUGCACUUUGAAGAGUUGCUGAAAAGCAAUACAUCCAUUUAUGUGGUAAUAAUUGUGAUACGAUAGAUUGUUAGGCCUACUUGAGCUGCAAGAACUCAUGCUUGUGCAAUUGGAAUAGCUGGGCAGUUCUAUUUCAUUGAAUCUACUUCAAGUAUUCUUUAUUUUCUGAGAACAAACCUUUCCGAUUAGACGAGCAUGUCUUAAGUACCUUAUUGGAAGAGAAAUAUGUGCUUGGAAGGCCAGUUUGUUUCUUUUUCUGACUACACCAAAAGAUUUUAAAACCUACCUUUUCUGUUUGAACAACAAAUGGAUAACGUCCAACCAUUGUUCGAUCCUUUCAUUUCAUGAUGGUUAUAAUGUAGGCAAUUCAAGCUCUCUUUGCUUGGAUAGUAUUUAUCUGAUUGAUAUUAAGCUUUAACCUACAUGACAUCAUGUGCGUUUGUCCGAACUCAUUAUUUUCAAAUGCAGGAGGAACUACUCAUGGAACACUUCAGUGACUUGAUCAAAUUUGUAAAGAUUAGAGCAUGUAAGUGUGUACGUACAUAUAUGUUGAAAAUAAUAUCAGAGUCAUGUAUGUGUGAUGUGCGUAUAUACAUACAUAUUGGUUGAUGUUUAUAUAUGUGUUGGUGAAAAACAGCGGAGGACCCAAGUUCCGGUUCGUCAGAGCGGCCGAUUAGUGUGAGUGAAGUAGAGCCAAUAAUAAAGGACUUUGGCAGCAGAUGGAAAGCUGCAAUAGAGCUGAUGCACAAUGAUGUGAUAACUUCAUUUAGUAACUUCUUAUGUGGUAUGGAAAUUCUGAGAGCAGCUUUGACACAGCUAUUGCUUUACUACACGAGGCUUUCGGAUUGCAUGAAGAGAAUCGCAGGUGGGUCUAGCUUGAACAAGGACUUGGUUUCCAUAUCUUCCAUAAUGUACGAGAUUAGAAAAUACUCCAGGACCUUUUGAUUUCAUACUUUGUUUCUCAUUGUCUUUUAUGUAAAAUUUUCUGGCUUUGCUUGUAACAUACAUGUUCCUGAUUUUUUUAUUGAAGAGAGACAGCUUUUUGUUGUGCGUAACCAAUUUUUUUUAGCUUAAAAUUUCUGACCAGGCCAUUUCAUUGAUUCUAUACGGAGUGGUGAUUGAUGUUGGUGGUGAUGGGUAGUGAAUUUUAAUAAAUUGAGUUGGGUAGUUGAUUAUAUUGGCAAAAUAUGGUAGCGUGUAGAGUAACUGUGACAAUUUUUAAUUUGGACAAUAUCUACUCCAAUUAUUAUUAUGAUGAAUAUGUAGAAAACUUGCUGCGCUUCUCUUUACUGACAAACUAUUGAACUACGAAGUCCAAACAUAAGAUUAAACUGAACCAGCUAACAACGUACAACAGUAAUAAUUAAUUAAUACUAAUCCCAAACUAGGAAAGCAAUUUGAAAGAGAAACGAGAACUAAACUAGUUUUACAUUCAGAGGCCAGGCCGCGCCAAAAUUGGAGCAAAUAUAAUUCACUCGCUAAUCGAACAUAUUCUUCAUCUGUUUCAACAACACUAGUCUAAAAAUAUCCAUCCAUAGGGCAAACGAACAUCAUCAAAUACAUUGCCAAGAGAAGAACAAAGAAAAAGAAAGUAAAUCAAGAGCUUCCUUCUGGCUCAUCGGUUCCUAGAACUGUCAGAGUAGGAGUCUCUGGUUCCUCCACACCAACACCAUUCACCUUGCUGUUACAAGAACCAACAAAAAUCAGGAGAAGAAAAAGAACCGAUUCUGAUACUUAUAGAAAACACGAACCAAUGCAAGAUUAUUCUUUUAAAUGUAAUAAUGCUCCAUCAUCACUACACAAGGAAAACAUAAUUAAGGUUUUCAGACAACCUAAUAACCAUCCAUGUAUAUAAAAAAGUCAAUGGCGACAAGACCAAGUUUUUCUUUGAACGUGCAUUACAAUGUAAGCCUAACAUGGAUUCUUUUGGGAAUAAUCUACCUAAGUUCUCUUACAGCUUCAAACAUAAUGCAAUACACAUACAGAGAACUGUACUUUUCUUUUUUCAUUUAGGUCUAACAAACAUUUAGCAGUAGAUCAUUACAAGAUAUGACAAUUCUUGGACACACGACAGGGGAUAUCACAUAAUCAAACCGAUUCGAGUACCUAAAUUAUCAUAUAAAAAGAAGGGAAGUGAAAUAAUUGCAUAAGAAUGGUUGAACUUAAGUACUGAAAAAUGGAUCCUGUCAGAAAUAAACCAGAUAAAACAAUAUGCUUAUAACGAGUUGUGUAAUGUUUCAGAAGAAAAAAAACAACAUAAUACAGGUAAAUAUUAAAGAUUCAUAGCACGGAACGAUUUAAAAGGCCAACCGACCCCAAUUUGCACUAAUAAAUCAUAAACCUCCUGUAAGAGGAGUCAUAGAGAAGAAACUUACUAGCAUGUCUUCUUAUUGUGGCCCAGGCCUUUGCACUUGCUACAUUGGAGCUGGCGCUUAAUGACAUCUACAGAUUCAGCUGAUUUCAACUUUGGUCUGCCAGGCGGACGUUUAGUAGGAGGAGGAGUUACAAUAGUUGCUUCAUGCAGUUCACUUCUCUCUGGUUUCUCCACAUUUGGUAUGGGGUUGAUUGACUCUGUAUAAGUCAAGCGAUAACUCUCAGUCGUGAAGAAUCUAGAGCAAAAAUCAUAAAGGCUCCUUCCAAGACAAUUGAUAACAGCAAUAGCAUGGCAGCAAGGCAACCCCAUUAGCUGCCACCCUUUGCAACUGCAGUCCCAGUGAUCAAUGUCCACUAUGUCCACCGACUCACCACCGCGGACCUCAAACGUACUGCCAUGCACGAGCGCCACUUGAAAUGAUCUCGCUUUUGACAUCUCAAGCUGAAGUUUAUCCUCCAUAAAAGGUGUCAACCUUGUAACCCAUUGACUGGAUUCAAGUCUUCGCCUAUAGAUCAAUUCCAUAAUCUUGCCACGUAACACAUCAACCAUCUGAGUUAUAGGCAACUCAUCCACCUCAGACACCCAACUGUAGAACUGUUGGCCAAAGUUGGAUGUCAUAUGGUUAUAUCUAGCCCCACCAAAAAUUGCAUUGGCCCAGUGCUCUGGUUGACUUCUAAUGACCCAAUCAUAAGCCUCGAUGGAUAUAGCCUUAAUGUUUUCAGCACACCUUUCGAACACCUCGACUUUGGGUGCAUAGGCAGCAGCAUAGAAAUCUUGAACCAUGAGGCGCCUCGCAUCAUGAGAAAAUUGUCCUUUCAGAUCCUUAUUUAGCUUCUCCGCAAGGGAUCGUAAACAGUAACCGUGAUUGCACUCGUUGCCAAAUAUAUCAAUCAAGGACUGCUUUAUGCCUUUCUGGAAAUCAGAAACAAAAGUUAUGUGCUCCGAAGUUGAGAGAGCAGAUUUCAGUUCUGACAGAAACCACUUCCAGUUAUCCUCGGUUUCUUCAUCCACCACAGCGAAAGCUACAGGGAAAAAAUCAUCAUUCCCAUCUGCAGCUGUUGCGGCUAAUAAGGUUCCUUGAUAUUUCGAGUAAAGAAGAGUGCUAUCGAGAAAAAGAAGAGGACGGCACUGAUGAAAACCAGAUAUUGAGGCAUGAAAUGACACGAAAAAUCGGCGAAAGCUCGAAUCUUCCUUAGUGCUGAAUGUAGCGAGACUUCCCGGAUUAGUCUCCAUUAUAUUCUGGCAAAAAAAUGGUAACUGAGAGUAUGCCUCUUUAUAAGAACCCUGAAGCUGUUCUCUUGCUAUCUCCUUGGCACGCCAUGCCUGCGUAUAGUUCAACUGAAUACCAUACUCGCGCUUGAUAUCACUUGCAAUAUCCUUUGGUUUAUAAUUCGGAGAAACUUUCAGUUUCUCCUUUAUGAUAUUGCCUAUCCAUCCCCUAGUUGCUCUAUAACCAGCUUUUACGGUGGCCCCUUCACAAGUAUGCUCGGGAUUCAUCUUUUUUAUACAUAUUAACUGAGUUGUGGCCAACCUAGAUGCAUAUAUGCGCCAUGGACAACCUUCUGUUUUGCACUUGGCAGUCACACGAUGGCUGUCAUUUUUCUUAUACUUGUAGGUGAAGCCGUGGGCAAUGGAGUAUUUAUGCAGAGCUUCACGAAAUUCGGCAAAAGUAUUGAAUCUUUGGUCCACACCUGUGAUGAUAUUCUCCUACUGAGUUGCUGCUCUCCGAUGCCUAUCUUCAUUGCUAAUAGGCUCAUCUAAAACAAUUGCAUCAUCAGUUUGCAUAACAUCCACAGGGACAUCUGAAGGAACUGCUGCCCCAGACACAGUUGUCCUGCUUGACCUGUAUAGUUAAACCAAUCAUAGUAUUAGAUUUUUUUUUGAAGGGAAGUGCAUUCACUUAAAUUUCACAAACAAAAACAUGCUUGAUUUCAUAAUAAUAAGGCGGAAGACAAGCUUUACUAUGAAACAACUUGUUUCAGUUUCCUUUAAAUGAAUCAACAUAAAUACUAUAGAAGGAUAACUUAGGCGGGUGAGUGGUUUGAAUUUUCCACAAAACGAGACUGCAUUGAAAAAAUUCACAACAUGCAUCAUAAAAUUCAGAAGCAUGACUGCAGUAAACUGAAGAAUAUACGAAAGAUUUGCGCCAUUAGCAGUCAGUCAGCCUUAACUACUCACACACAACUCCAUUUCAGUUGAAACAGUUAUACUUGUUCAUUUUACUUGUCUAAAAAACAAUUGUAACAUCUGAGAAUUGAAACAAUAAAAGCUGAAGAAGUUGAGUAAUGGCAAAUACCUACUGGCAGGCAUGUUGGACACAUUUGGAGCAGCGGCUUCUUCUUCUUCAGCAAUAAUAAAGACCUCAACUUGAUCAGUGUCCUUGAAGAAGUUAACCAUACGCUUGAGAUCUUUAUCCUUAGAUAUGGUAAUCAAGGUCUUUCUGUUUCCAGGGAGAAAAUACUUAAUCGACAAUGCACGAGCACUAAAUUGAAAAGUUUCAGCAAGUUCAUGCUUGAAAUCUUUCAAUUGGGUCUGAUGAUCAAGGUCGAGAGCAUAAGCUUCCCCACCGGUGUAAAAUAAAGACCCGUCAUCUUUAUUCGCCACAAAUUCUCCUCCAGAUUGGCAUAUAGCUAUGAUUUUCUUUGUGGCCAUCGCCAGAAUGCCAAAAAGGUUUCCUUUUUAUUUAAAAAAAAAAGUUAGUUGCGAAGCCCAGAUAAUAUCAGACUCAAGAGAAGAAGAAGAAGAAGAAGAAGAAGAAGAAGAAGGAAAUCGAAUCAAAUACACAGGCGAAGCAGCAACAGUUUAUAAGAGGGCAAAUUAUAUCAAAAAAAAAUUAACCAAAGGGCAAAUCUUAACAAGCAAAAUGAAACAAAGACAUGCACAAGAUGAGAGAGGCGAGAAAAAACCAAUCCCUAAGAAUACAGCAUUUUUCAAAAGUCUAACAUAGGUCAGAGAGAGAUAAACAAUUAAUUGAAAAUUCCAAAACCCAUAAGAAGAAGAAGAGUCUUAACAAAAUCACAAAUAGUGCGAAUUAUGGGGCGAUUCUGAAAAGAGUAGAUAGAUAAUUCAGAGCAAGGGUUUACCUGUGGUGAAAUUAAGGUUGAGCAAUGUGUGUGUGUGUGCGCCAAGGCGGGGCAAAAGGGUUAACGGGGGAGAGAGAGAAAGAGAAAGGGCCUCGGAGUCUGGUCCAGUGAAGUGGUGUACGUGUAUGACUAAUCUCAACCGUUGCUUCAGAAAAACAUAAUUAAGGAGUUUGCUAUUCUAUCCAUCCAAUAUCUUAUUCUAAAAAGAAAUAAAAUUAAAACCAUAUAUAUUAAGGAGGUUACAAUUCUUUGAAUUCAAAUCAAAAGAAUUCUCAAAUUCUCUCUAGGUUUAAAUAUCUUGAUUAAUUCUUUUUUCAAAUAAAAUCGUAACAAAGCUACUGAAAAAUUAUAAUUUCGAUCCGAGUAUAAAUCAGGGUUCUAAAAAGCGUGAGUCGGAUUGGAGGUGGUCGAAAGACGCUCGGUCCCUACUCGGUGAUGGAAAGGAGACAGGCGGGCACCGUAACCGGUUGCCAUUGCAGGACCCGAUGCGCUACAUGUUUAACUUUACUUUUUAAUAUAUAAUUUGACUUCACAACCCAAAUCGUAAUUCGGUUUAGAAAACUCAGUUGCAUUUUCGAUUCUGGUUUAAUUGCCUAGAUGUUUUAUUUUUACAUUUUAAUACUUACGUAAUUUCGAUUUAUUUUGUUGUAGAAUAAGAAAUACUUAUGUAGACGUUUGAAUUAGUGGCAUAGAAACUGCUUGGACUUCAAUAUACUUUUGAUUACUCAGACGUAAAAUGUAAAGUAUGUAUAUGCGUAUUUGAGAGAUAUUGGGAAAACGAUUGAAGAGAGUGAAGUUAGAUCCGAAUAAUUCAAAGUUUGAGACAAAGAAUCCAUUGUCCAUAAUGAAUUGUGAGAAAAUUUGUAUUGCGAUUAUAUGUUAGAGCAUCUCCAAUGUUAAACUCAAUCUUUAACAUUUAGAGUGCUGGGAAAUUGAGAUUUUUGUUAAAAAUCAUAUCCAAUGCAAAUCUUAAGAAAAAACUCCAAAUGAUGUGGCAAUGAUGUGACACUUGUGAUUUUAGAGAUUCUUAAGAGCAUCUCCAAUGUUAAACUCAAAAAAAACUCUAAAAAUCCUAUGUGUCAAGUACCAAAUGUGAAUCUUAAAAUCUUCUCUAUCCUAUUUGGCAAGAUUGAGACUCUCUACUGCAAAGUCUUCUCAAAUGCAACACUCAAAACUCAAAAUAUUUUCUUAGGUGUAAUUUGUUAUUGGGUUUUAAAAUUAAAACUAAAACUAUUAAUAUUUUAAAAAAAAAACUUAUCCUACAAAAAGAUAAAAACUUUACAUUACUGCUUUAAUACUAGUGGGAUUUAUUCAGAUUUGUUUUAAAAGGGAGAAAAUGAAGUAGCUAGAGUUUUUUAUGAACAUUCAUUAGUUAAAUAUUUUAAUCGACAAAUUUUAAAUCAAUAUUUUUCCUGUUCAUCAAAUUCUGAACAUAUAUUCUAUACAAACUAGCAAUUUCUAUAGAUCACGCGUAUGGUUCAUUUGUAAUAGGUCAGAUGAAUCACAUGAAUUCAAUUCAUUAAAUUUUGAAUAAAAUUAUUGUUAAAAAGAAUUAAGUAAAUAAUUAGGGUUUUUUUUACCUAAAAGUUGAAUUUUCAGAGAAACAUAUAAUUUAAAUAAAAUAGUGUAGAAGGUGGAAUAAGAUUAGAACUAUGGUGAAAUAUAUUUAUGGUUAAUCUAAAAAAUAUAUAUAUACAUAUAUACAUAUAUAUAUCAAAUAUAUAUAUACAUAUCAAAAAUACAGAUAUAUAUAUAGAUAUAUAUUUACGGUUUGAAGAUAUUUUAAUUUUCUUAAUUUUUUAAUGGAAAGUAAAAGAAAAAUUGUAUUAAAUGAUGAGUUGGCACUUUAGAGAUCCUCAAGAUGACACUCCAAUCUCAGAGUGUCAUCUAAAGAAUCAUUAAAAUUAUAGGUGCCACGUCAUUUGGAGAUUUUUAUUAAGAUUUGCAUUGGAGAUGAUUUUUCAAUAAAAAUCUCAAAAGAUCCUAUGUGGCACUCUAAGUAUUAGAGAUUGAGCUUAGCAUUGGAGAUGCUCUAAGAUGACAGUAUGACUCUCUGCAAUUGGAGUAUCAUCUUGAGGAUCUCUAAAGUGUCGACUCAUCAUUUAAUUCAAUUUUUCUUUUACUUUCUAUUAAAGAAAGUAAGAAAAUCAAAUUAUCUUCAAACUGUAAAUGGAAUUCACCAUAGCUACUUCUUUUUCUCCCUUCUGAAAUAAAUUUGAAUAUAUUGUACUAGCAUUAAAGCGAGAAUGAAAAGUUCUUCUCUUUUUGGCGGGAUAAGUUUUUUUUUUAAUAUAUUAAUUAUUUUAAGGGCAAAUUACCAAAACCCCCCUGAGGUAAGGCUGAAUAACGAAAAUCCCCCCAUGUUUGCGUAAUUACGAAAACCCCCUGAUGUAUGUUGCCGUCUUACAAAUUCCCCCUACGUGUUACUUCUGACGGAAUCUUUUUGAUUCCAUGGAAUAUUCCUUUGAAAAUGCCAUUCUUGCCCUUGAGGGGUAAUUGUAAGUAUAUUAAAAAGUAUAAUGUAUUUCUUCAUUUUAUAAUUAUUAAAAAGAUAAAAUAUAUAUAAAAUAAUUAAAGAUAUCUCGUAACAUUAAAAGUUUUUAUUUAUUUUUAUUUUUUUAUAUAUUUUUUUAUUCAAUAAAAUCGAGGUUACGUAUUUUUGAAAUAUUCUCUUAUUUCUUAUUUUAUGCUACAAAUAUUUUCAAUAGUUUUUUAAUAUUAUGGUAAUUGUCAAUAUAUUAUUAUAUUUUUUAGUCAAAAAAGUAACACCGUAGGGGGGCUGUGUAAUACUUAAAAAAACGUAUUUACUUUAAUUUAAACCUAUAAUGUAUUUCUUCAUUUUAUAAUUAUUAAAAAUAUACAAAAAAAAAUAUGUAAAAUAAUUAAACAUAUAUUGUAACAUAAAAGGUUUUUUUUACUUGUUUUCUAUUUUUUAUAUAUUUUUAUAUUUUUUUUAAUAUUUGUUUAAUUGUAUUUCAAUUUUAAACAAACAAAAUUUAAAAAGUAUAUAUUAAUAUAAAUAAAUCAUAAUAUUCCCUUGAUUGUUUUUCAAAUAACAAAAGGGUACAACGGACAAACAUUUUCUGUCAAUUUAAACGGUCUAGCACUGGUCAUAGGGGGAUUUUCGUAAUCAUGCAAACAUGAGGGGGAUUUUCGUAAUUAGGCCUUACCUCAGGGGGGUUUUCGUAAUUUGCCCUUUUUCUUUUAUUUUUUUACAUAUUUAACAGAAGGGUAUAAUAGACUUCUGUUAAAAAAAAUCGGUCAACUGUUAGUCAAGGGGGUUUUUCGUAAUUACGAGAACAUGGGGGGGGAUUUUCGUUAUUCAGCCUUACCUCAGGGGGUUUUUGGUAAUUUGCCCUUAUUUUAAUUUUAAUUUUUAAAAUCCAAUGAAAAUUACACCUAAGAAAAUAUUUUGAGUCUUGAAUGUUGCAUUGGAGAGAGGAGACGUUGCAAUAGAGAAUCUCAAUCUUGCAAAUAGGAUAGAGAAAAUUUUGAGAUUCACGUUUAGUACUUAACAAAUAGGAUUUUUAGAGUAUUUUUUAAGUUUAGCAAAAAUAUACACAAGUUAUUUACUAAUCAUGAUCAAAUACAGUAUAUUAAUUCCAUUAAAAAACUAAAUUAGUACGGACUCAAUAGUAGAUGAGUUGUAUUCAGUGAAUGAUCGUAUAUGACAACUUAAAGUGACUGCAAUUUUUUUUUUUUUUUUUUCUAUUUUUUAUCGGAUGCUUAGCCCCUUACCUAAAUAUCUCACGGUUCACCCAUGACAACACAUGAUAGGGUAUAUAUGUACACCUAACCGUGUCAUGGAAUAACACUGUCCGCACGUGCCGAGCAACGUUAGGGUUAUUUGGCACCUACAACAAAACUCAUAUAAUAAAAAUUAUACAUAUAAAAAUAUUACAAAAAAUACAAUUAAUCUAAAAAAUAUAAGUGCACUUCAUCGUUCCAGUAAAUAUAAAAGCUACUUUGACUAAAAAUAAGUUAUAUUACCAACAAUACAAAAACGGUUUAGAAAGAAGUGAACCAAUUGAAUUCAUCACAACUUUCAAAAAGCGGUUUUUGUGUUUUUGUGUCAUGUCUCGAAAAAUCGGACUUCAAUCAUGAACUCUCUUUGUUUGGGGGAAUACCAAGCUACAGCUUUUGCAGAACCAAGAACUUGUAAUGCAUAUUCAGCAGCAAAAACAGGAUCAUUAAUCACAUUGUUAUACCACCACUUUUUCUCCUUGCCCUUCUUCGUCAGAUCAACACUCACUCCACAAUCAAUUCUAAAGCUGAAAGGUCCACAUAUCUGCAUUUUUACCCAAAAAAAUCAAAAUGUCAGAGGUAAGUGAUUAUCUCGAAUUUAGAAACUUGAAAGAUAACAGAGUGUUGAAGACGCAGAAUUGCAAUUAGUAUAAAAGGUCCAACAUCCCUCUCUACUUAUCUCCUUUGUUGAAGAAAUCACAGGAAUCCUGUCUGCUCUUUUACCGAGAGCAAAUAACAUGCAUAAGCAUAUUGUAUUCCUAACCUCCCAUAUGCUACGAUUUUCACUAUUUUUUUUUCUUUUUUUUUUUUUUAUUUUAAAGAUAAGGUAGGUUUAUUUGUCCUUAUUUUAGUACUAUGGUUCAAAACACAGAGCUGAAUUGAUAUCUAGCAGUGACUAAAGUUAAAUAAAGAAUACCUGCUGCUGAAAUGAAAGGCUGGCAGAAGGAAAAAUAGCCUGGAGUGCUUCAACACUUGGUGCUUGACGAGAAUUGUAGAGGUCGACAGCUAAUCGAGAGGCACCACCUACAAAUUUUGACACGGAAGGAACAUCUAUCCGUGCAUUAAAACGGGUAAGGUCCAAAAAGAGCUUCUGGAAAUUUCCAUGCUGAGCGGAGACGGAUGCAGAUGCAAAAAGAUCAGCUGAAAUGGCAGAAUUUGCUCCUUUGGCUCCAAAUCCAAACCAUCCAUCUUCUGCCUGGGCUCUAACGGAAUUAUCUCCAAGAGAUGCAGUUAUUACAGUACCUAAAGUACAAAAUAAAUACAAAAUUGAUCUUAGAAAGAUCAAUGUACUAAGCAUGAUAAAGUAGAUGUCAAACAAAAUAUGCAAUUCAGUGAUUGGAUUGGUUCUAGAUAAGCACCCAAAGUGCAUAAGCAUGGAUUCCUCAUAUCCUAAAUGUCGUAGCAAAGCAUAGACAUGUGCAUAUAAAAAAUCCAUGCCUUGGUAUUAGCUAGCUAACAUGGAAUGGAAAAGCAAACAAAUAAUCCCAAAGUAGAUAACUUGAUUUCAGUGUUCUCCUUCAACCAAAAAGCAUUCAGAACUACAUGUAUGUGUAAGGAGUGAUUUACCUAUGAUUGCGGAUGCUGAAAUAUGAGGAUUGGAGAGAAAUAUAUCAUAGGGUUGCGCCAAUUUCGUCUUUGGUGCUUCGCUCCUCCAAAUGUUCAAGUUCUUUUUCAAGGAAACGGCACAUUUGGCACACAAACCAGGAAGCAAACUAGGAGGUACAUGUACAGGUACAGGUACAGGGCUCGUAUCAUAUAUUUUGGGGGAACCUGAAGUAUGGUUGAUGCAGAAAUGACAGCUCAUCCCAGAAUCAGAAGAAGGUAGUGAUGCAAAAUCCAUCCCCAACGUCAACGGAACAUCCCAGUAAUUCCCUAGACGGUCGACAAAUAGUGUCGGCGAAGCUGCCUCAAUAGUGAGAUUGUGAUUGGGGAACUGCAACAACAACAAAUAUAUAUAUAUAUAUAUAUAUAUAUAUAUAUAUAUAUAUAUAUAUAUAUAUAUAUAUAUAAUAAAUAAUAAUAAGAGAUGAAAUGGACAAAUCAAAACAAAUUUAUGCAAGAACAGGUCUUGCCUUGUGAUGAAGUACUGCCUUCUUCCUAGGAAUGUUGUUGUGAUCGCCGCCGUGUUUUUCGAGGCUGAGUAGCAAUGCAUCUUCAGGUGUUAACAACCAUUCCGAGCAGAAAUUGAGAGCAUAAAAGCUUGGGUUCAAAAGAUGCGUCCAAACAGUCUGAAAAAAAGAAGCAUCGGAGUCCUCUUGUUGUUGCCUUUGCGUUUGCCUUGUGGGGAGAGAAGAUGUGAACUUGAGGACAUCGAACCGUCCAAGCAAUGUUGAAAACCUGCAUCUCUUUUCAGAAAUUAUUCUUCGUCAAUUAAUUUUCAUUUCCCCAAAAUAUAUGUAAGAAAAAAGUUCAAUUGAUGAGAGGGGUUGGGGGCAUACCAGGUGUCGCGAGCAAAGGGAGGGAGAGGGAGAGAGAUUAGGCGGUGGAAAGAGAGGCCAUUGGAAUCGGAGAAAGAGGGGACAAAGGGCAUGGCCAUGAAUCGCUGAAAGAAAUCAAUCUGCUUUGGACGAGAAAGCCUUGUACCACGGCUCAACCCUAAAGGAAUGGGAUCCUCCGCCGCUGGACGAGCCACUCCGUCCACUGUCACCGGCGUCGAUAGGUCAACCUCCCAGAAACCGCCGUCCAUCGCCCAUCUCAGCUUCUUCAUUAUUUCUUUCUGUCUGCUUCUGAGUUCUGUGAGUGGUACAAGGGAACAAGACUGUGCGAGUGUGUGAGUGUAAGUGUAGAAAUAAGAAUAAGUUGUUAAGCUGCCACCAAAUAAAUUAAAGGCCGCGGCGCGCUAUUCGCAAUACUUGUUUCACUAAGUGCAAGACCAAAUUUAUGCAAGACCACAGAAAAGUUCUAUAUUUUAUAAGUUCAAGACCAUGAAUGACAAAUAUGCCCAUUAGUUAAAAAAAAAAAUUUCAAUAUUUUUCAAAAAAAAAAGAAAAAGAAAAGAAAAGAAAAAGGCAUCUUAAGAAAACGACGCAGCCCCCGUCGCCCAACCAAGCCCCGUUGCCGCUCCAAGCACCGUUGCCGCCGAUCAAGCACCGCCGUCGCUCACCCUACAACCAUGAGCGACCUAAACCUGGAAAACCUUCUUGAAAAGGGUUUAAGUUUGCAAUAAAUAAAUAAGUAGCAUAAUAAGAAAAUGGGUAGAACGUGAAAUUCGAUAAUUUUGGGUCAGAUUUGAUCUUUUUUAAGAACAUUUACGAUCUACAAAACUCGACCUGCAAAUGUCGAUUUUGGGUUUGUUUUCUCGACAUUUGCAGGUCGUCUAAUGUCACUUUUUUCGACAUCAAGAAGAUGUCGAUUUAUGUGUACCUAAUCCGACAUCUAAGCGUCGAAUUUUAUGCAUUCCAAUCGACGCUAAGGUGUCGAAAUAAGCCUUUUUCCCCUUUCUUUGUAGUUAAAGUGCUAAGUCGACAUCUUAAUGCCGAGUUUGUUUUACAGAUAUCGACACCUUAAUGUCGAGUUUUGGGGGCAAAAUUCGACUUGUAAAUGUCGAAUCGCGUCUGCGCAAUUUCUUUUUGAAAAAUGAUAGUCUAGCUAAUAAAACACAUAAAUGCAUAUCUCCUUGGGUUCUUCCACCGUAGAAUCUUUCAUUUUGAUGUCUUUCGACUCCAUACUUGCCCUCUUUGCAAGGUUUGUUAAGGUUCGAGAAUGUUGAAGUUUUGUGCGUUUAUGGAAGAGGAAGGAGAAAUGUCUUUGUGGUUGUUGGAAGAUGGAGAAGAUGAGAAUUUGGUCUUGUGGUUUUGUGGUUAAAUUUUUUUGGUUUCUUAGUUUUUGAUAUUGCAUCAAUUUACUAUUUUUUUAACAAGUAAGGGUAUUAUUGUAUUUGUACAUUGAAAAUUUUAAUUUGGUCUUGCACUUAGUAGAAUCAGUAUUGCAAAUAGCCGCGGCCUAAAUUAAAUUAAUUAAAUUCGAAUUGAGUCUAAACUAUAAUAAUAAUACAUAUUUUCAGAUUGAAUGAUUUGAAUUUUAGCAAGGAUUUCAAAUAAAUAAUCUCAGAUCAUUUAGAAAAACAUAUAUAUAUAUAUAUACAUAUAUGUUUAUGGUUAUGUUAGAUGAAAAUUUACUGUGAAAAUUGCGUUAAAUCACCUAAUUAUUCACUGGAACGAAAACAAACUUGUGCUUUGGGCAUCAUACAUAAUAAACAAAUAGACUUUUCGACACUGAAUCUAAAAUAGAUAGAUAGAUAGAUACAAGAAUAUAUAUGUAUUCCACAACAACACAAAGAAAGAAACCGCAUGCAUCAUCACAUGUCAUCUCUAAAUCUCUAAUGUACAACACAUCCUUAUUGCAGCAGAGAUUCAUUGCUCUUCAUCAGCAUCUUGGUGGUUGGGGUGGUGGAACGAGUACGAGUCGUGGGCAAGAGUCUGCACCAAUUACAAAUUAAUUACUCCAAUCAUCAAUCAUAUUAUUUACUGGCAAAAAAGAUUUUAUAAUUAAGUAGAGUAGAGUAAAAUAUUUGAUCAUUACCUGUUCUUGGGCUCGGAAAUACAUGAAUGGUGUAUAGUGCAAGAAAUUAGAAACCCUUGACGUAUAUAUAUCAGCGUACCUGCAUGCAUUUAGUUUCUUUCACAAGUCAAUUAUCUUUCUUUCUUUUUAUGCACCUAGUAAGUAGUACCACUACUACAUGCAUUACUUAGUCGAAACACAUACUUCUCAAUUUGCCUCAUUAAGUGGCUUUUGUCCCACAGACCUGCUCGUGAAAGAAACCCCCACCUGAAACAAACUACAAUUUUUUAUAACAGACAACACAUGAUGCAUGUACGCACAUGUGCAAGAUACACAUGUUCACUACCUUUUGUUAAAGAGCUCCCCAUCCGAUUCCAUCAUCGGACCAAUUUUAUUGUCUAACCGUUGCAUCACUAUCAGUAGUUUCUGAAUGCUUUCAUUAAGUUCCUUGUCAUCCAUAUGAGUUGCAGCAAGAGUCUGACGAAUAAUUAUUCACAAUAAUUAAUUGAAAAGAUAAAUGUGAACAUACCUGGCAACACCUUUAGAAGAAACAUAAAUGUGAAAGAAAGAAGAUGAAUAACGAAUAUACCUGAGCUGGACGUCCUUUACUCCGUCUCUGCAGAGCAAGGCGUAGUUGGUUAAAGAGAUCUCCAACAAGCUCCUUCUGAUUUAUAAGCUCUAUCAACGUGGUACGAUGACCUCGACUAUGAACUAAAGCACUAUACUGCAACAUAUAUAUAUAUAUAUAUAUAUAUAUACACAAAUGUGUUAAUACUGCUAAUUUUUUAUUCUUGUAUUUGAUAUAUAGCAGCAUACACCAACUGAAUUCGAUAUUCGGAGAAUAUUAUUAGAGCAUACAACAAACCUCUUCUUCUAGUUCUCGGCAAAUUAGAGCUGUACGCCAUCGGAGAUGAACUUUAGAUUGGCUAACAUCCGUAUAAAUAUGAUCACCCACAUAUAGAAUUUCAUCUCCUUGAAUGCCAAGUGAUUUUUCAACCAUCUGGGCACUCCCUCCAGAGUAUACUCCCCCUGCAUUAAUACACAUAUAAUCUCUUCCGAUUAUGUGUAAUGUGGUAAAAGACCAGGACGGUGAUCUAAGGGAUUUUGAAAUGCUAGGGAUAAAUGAUACCACAGGCUACAAAAACUUGAAAAUGUUGACACCUACGUACUAUCACCUGAAUUAGCCUUAAAGCAUGGGCGCAUAAGGCCUUCACCAGUCACCACUUCAUACAUUGGGUGUGCCAUUUGAAAAAACUCUGGCUUUCUGGCAGAGACUAUUACCUAUAGAAGAAUCAGUCACCCGAAUCAUGGCCCAGGAAUAAUACACUUAAUUUCACAGAGUUGUGAUUCCAGUAAACAAGUCUUUUAUGACCGAUUUAGGUGUUCAAAACAUGUGUUAAGUGUCAAGUAACAUUUUGCAAUAGAAUGUGUCUCUAUUACCUUGAACAAAGAAAACAAAGAUAAUUAAAUAGAAGUCAGUUUGUCUUGGCAGUCAAUUUACUCACUAUGUCAAACAGAUCUCGCCAGGUCAUAUCAUUCGGAAGAAAUCUAUUGAAAGAAUGCUGCAUCAUUUUUUCAGUGUAAUGGUAGUCUGAGUUGGUAAUAAGCAAGAGCUUUUUUCCAGCCUGUCAUAGAACAGCGAAAUUUGGUCUGUCGAGAAGUAAUAUUAAGGGUAUAUGCGGACAUAAAUGUAGAAAUCCUUGAAAUAUAACCAUGUACUCAUCAAAUACUCGUCAAAAAAUGAAUUAAAAGUACCUCCUUCUGAUCCAACAGUGCCAAAGGUAGCUCCGGAUCAGGUUCUACAAAGAGUUCAGGCUUCGACAUUAUCUCACUCUGCGAGUUUGUUCGCUGGUUAGACUAUUCUUGUGCAACUGGAUAGUGCAAAUUCACAAAUAUAAAGGAUGGAUACCUUUAGCUGGCCUUCAACAUGUGCCCUGAAGAGUGCUUUUCCAACAGCCUGAAGGCAAUACGAUGAAGUUAAGGCAUUUUAAUACAUGUAAAACGUUAAAUUCCAAAUAUUUUUUUCCAACAUCAAACCUUGUAAAGCCCCUUAUAAUCAAGCGGACCAAGAUCUGUGGCUAUAGCUCCUUCAUCCAAUCUAUCUACGAGCUGAGUAUAAAGUAUACCAGUUAUAUAAAGUCAUAUUGCAAAAAGACCACAAAAUCAAGGAGGAUGGAGUACUGUCCACUGUGUUUCUAGACUAACCAUUUUAAUCAAUUGUGCAUUAUCAUCUUCAGUAGCUUCAAAUAUGGAUAAAUAUUGUUAUCUUCAUACAUAUAUUUACAUCCUCAUUGAUUUAAACCAAAGCAAUGGACCAGUCCUUCAAGUUUUAAAUGUCUCCAACAGGCAACUUGUUUACUUUUAAUAUAAACUACUUUCAAUUGAUAUUCAUUUUUUUUUUUCUCUCCAUAUAGUUAAUGGAUAUACUUUUUUACUGAGAUAGAUGAUGAAUGGAUAUAAGGAAGUAGAGUUAAUGGACUAUUCUUUCACAAACAUAAAAGAAAAGAAAGAACUAAUGGACAAAAAGUGAGCUACACUUAAGAGAAUUUCCCAGAAAUUUAUAUAUAAACGCACUAAAAUGUGGAGGUCGUCUACCUGCAUAUAAGCAACAGCCUCUGAAACGGAGAAUAGUGUAUUUAGGAACUCCCACCGGCUCUCCUUCCGUAGAUCCACAAGUUCUCUCCCAUACAUCUCACUUCAUUCAGGAAAUGUUAAUUAGUACACUAUAAUUUAAUUUCACUAGAUUACAUAAUAAACCAGGAAUUAAAAAACUUAAGCCGAAUAAAACUCAAAUUGAAGUGCAUACUCUGGAGUCAAAUAGCAAAUCAUGACUAAAUAUCAUAAUGCAACUUUUUACAAAACCUUCCUUUUUACCUGAUGGAAAUAUGUGUUGCCAUUGAUCCCUACUUUGAUCGAUUAAAAGUGAGAUUCACACGGACUAGAUAUAGGAAGAUGUGUUGCCAUUUACAAGGAAUAUUUAAUGAUAAAUAAAGGGAAGUUUGAAUAACACCUCAAUGUCUGAGUAGACAACAUUGUUGUUCCAUGCAUAGCCCGUUUGACGUAUCCAAAUCGAUCUGCUUUAACUAAGUUCCCUUUCUCUUUGUCUAUCACUAGGCCUCGAAUGACCUACAAGCACAAGGUAACAGGAUAUUCUAGAAUCAGCCAAAACAAUAUACCACUCUGACACUUGCUAUCAUAGAAUAUUGCGUACCAGUUCUGGGUCAAAUGAAAGUCCAUCAACAGGAAAGCCCAUAUUUUUCAAAUUGUCCAUGCAAUAGUCAUAAGCCCAAAAUAACAAAACCAGUGUCCCAUCUUUCGAAUUUACUACUGAAAUAUGAAAUCGUGGAUUGAAUCCACAAAAUGAUGAAAAUUUUAUUCAGUAGCUUAAAAGUCCUGAAGUAGACUUAGAUUAAUUACCCUUAUACAUAUUUUAAGCUAGAUGGAUGAUAUUUGAUACAAUAAUAACUUCUGACCGAAGUAUGCAAGUGAAGUUCAGGCACAAUGAUUAAGAUGAUAAGUGAGAGCAUAAAUGACAUGUAUGCUGUAAACAUCCAUUUUCACCAUCAUGCCCUUCUUUAUCAUACUCACACAAUUAUUAUGUAAGAAAUGUAGAAUGCAAACAAGGAAAUAACUUCAAAGACAGCACAACUAUUUUUGCUGGCUGUGAAAAAAAAAGUAGUUUUCUAAUUACCGCCACAUUAUAAUGCAUCAAUGUGUAGUCCAUGUCAUAGCCAAUAGCACUAAUUGACCGCAAAUUAAGGGUUCGAGUACAGAAAAUUCCACGAGGAGAGUAUCUUGAAGAAAAUGGGUCCUGUAUAAUUUGAGUGGAACAUAUAAAGUCAGCAGAUUCAAGGGGAAUUAUAAGAAAGAAAUAACACUCAGGUAUGGGACAAGAUAGCAUAUCAUUAUCAAGAAUGAACAUAUGUAUAUAAUAAUGACUGACCGGAAUGCCCAAGUGAUUAAGCAAGUGUUCGGCUUCUUGAGCUUCCAUUCUGGCCACAUCCUCAAUAGGACCGCCGUCCAGGCGUCUCUCCGUUUCUCCGUCAUCGAUUCCUACAAAUAAUAAUAAUUAAAUAAUUAAUUAAUUGAUAAAUUACCCAAGUUAAGGUUGAGGUCCCCUUUGGUGCUCUGCCCGAGGUAAUCAAAAUCGGCCUUGCUGGGAGAAGAAGCCGGAGUUCCCGUCCGUUGCGGCGGUGCACCGGCAGUUCAGUUUUUUAGUAGUAGUGGACGGCGGUGAUUGAAAGUAAGAAAGGCCGAGUGAGGAUGGUCGGAGUAGCGUAAUGUUCGUCCUCCACCGUUGCGAAGUAACAUUCUGAUAAUAGGUAGCAGAGGCAGUCGCCGCCGUCAUGGCAUUGGUGGCCAUUCACAGUUGCAACUAGGGGACAACUAUUUUGAAUACUAAUUUUUGCUUAGUUGAAUACCAAAAAAAUAAAAAAUAAAUAAUUAAUUGUAAAUUACUUUAAUACCCUUAAUGAAAAUUAAAACCAAAAAAUAUUACAAAUACUAUUUUUCUUUCUUAAAAACCAAAUAAUCAAAAACCUAAAAAAAACAUUUCCCUCCUCACUCACAAACCCCUCACCUCCUCCACCUCCUUCUUCUCCCUCCCCAAAAACCCUCCUAAAAAACCCCAAAACAAAAGAAAUCAAAACCUUACACAACUUGCAAAAUGGCCUCAAAUGACAAUAGAAUAGUAGUUUACGAGCAAGGAGAACCCAUUCAAGUAUGUAUUCAUGUAUUUUUUGAGCUAAAACAUCGAUUUUGAAUUUUUUUUUUUUUAAAACUCGCCAUGUAUUUUCGACACAUACAGGUCGAAAAUACCCUUAUUUUUCGACGUGUAUGUGUCGAAAAUACCCUUAAGUGUCGAAAAAAAAAAAAAAAAAAAAUUCACAGUUCAAAUUCGACAGCUAGCUGUCGAAUUUGAACUGAUACAACAAUUUCACCAUUUUCGACAUCUACAUGUCGAUUUUGGAUGAAUUUUCGACAUCAACCUGUCGAAAAUUCAUCGAAAAUCGACAUAUACAGGUCGAAAAUGGUGAACGAAGAACCGACCCACGAAUCUCAAAUCAAUGCUCAAAUCGAUUGAAAUCAGAUGCACCCAUUACUAAUUAACGAUCAUUCUAACCUAAAACAACCAAAUCCUAAUUACCCAUAUCAAACAAUCAAAUCUUAAAUAAAUAUUAAAGAAAAAAAAAUCGAAACAACUAUAACUUACUAUUCGAAGACGACGACGGCGGCGGCUUUGGGCGACGUUGGGCGGCGUUGGGCGGCGUUCGGCGGUGUUUGGCGUCGGCGUCCGGCGGCGGCGAUGGUUGGAGCGGCGGCGGCGGCGUCGGGCGGCGUGGACGGAGGGAGGUGGACGGAGGGAGGUUUUUUGUGUUUGAAUUUUUUUUUUCUUUUUUUUAUUUGGUUUUCAAGUAGGUAAUUUCAAAGAAAAAUUGAUGUAAUUAGUAUUUUGUAUGAAAGGGUAUUUUUGUACUUUUAUUUUUAUUUUGGUAUUAAAGUAAGAAAAAACUUAUAAAUAUGUACUCAAUUGUGGUUUUCAACUAGGUAGUAUUCAACUAAGCAAAAAUUAGUAUUCAAAAUAGUUGCCCCUUGCAACUAUUAUGCAAUUAGCAAAAUUGUAUUUCAAAUUCAAUUUUCGAGUUUCAACAAAUAGGUUUUUAUAUAAUACGAUAAAAAAAAAUUAUUUUAAUCGAAUAAUUAGUUUUUCAUUUUAUUUGUAAUUAACAACAGAAAUAAUAAUAUGUAUAUACUUUAUAAUUUCCUGAAAAACCAAAAAGAUAAUAAACAUAAUUCCAUUGUGCAGAUCCAAUUAAAUAUGAAUUUUUAUUUUUAGUUUUGAAUGAAAUAAAUAAAUAUAAAUAUCAUGAAAAAGAAAGCAAUAUCCUCUCCCAUAUCACUUCUUGUUCGGCGGAGCACCGUCGUUUCUGCUGUCGUCGUGUCUUCUCUUUUACACCACCACCAUUUUACUACGUACAAAAGAAAGCCCACAUAGGGGGCGCUCUCCGACUCUAGAAUUUUAGAGUAAUCCCAUGGCGGUCCGAGGCCUUCUCAUGCCUUUCCCCAAUACGUCGCCGUCGCAUCCGGCGGUGGUGAUGAUCCCCGCAGUCAUUUCGUGGUUCGGAAAAGUCUCCGGCCCCAGGCGGGCCCGCUUCUACUGCAGACACCACACCGCAGAAAUCGACAUGCCUGUGUCCAUGUCCGAGUACAGACGAGACAAAUUUGCCCAGAGAAUGGGGGCGGCUGGCCUUAAACAUCAUCACCGAAUUGGUCUGUAUUAACUAUUUCCACUUCCAUUUUCUUCGGACAUGAAAAACACAACUUGUCUCUUUCUUUGAGUUAUUUCAGCAGUUUAAAGUUACUUCAAAGUAUUACGGUUCAGCAAUUUUGUUAUUUUAGGUACUCUAAGAAAGUAAGAUCCAAUAUCAAAUCUUGUCUUGGUUCUUUCUUUUUUAAAGAUUGGAUUUUUGCAGAGUUCAUUUUUUCCUUUAUUGCACAAUUUUUGUAUGCAGCAAUAGCUGUUUCGGGUGGUCCUGAUAGUAUGGCGCUGUGUGUAUUGACUGCUGAUUGGAAAUCUGAUAACCUUGUUGAUUCUGCUACUGCUGUUACCACCAAAGGAAGAGGCAACCCAGUCGAUGGCCUUUUAGCCAUUGUUGUUGAUCAUGGAUUGCGUCCAGAAAGUGCAGAGGAAGCAGACCUUGUCCGCAAUCGAGUUUCAGAUAUGGGUAAGUAAUGAAUUCUAACCAUAUUUUUUUUUGCUUUUUGGAGAUGGGCACUUGUUGUUGGUUUCUCUAGAAGGAAGGAAGAUGGAUAGAUAAUGUAGGUUGUCUAUAUAUAGGAAUAAAAUGUGAAGUUGCCCGUUGCGAUUGGUUGGACGGUAGACCCGGACCUGGUCACUUGCAAGAAGCAGCUCGCAAUAAGAGGUGUUUUUCUUGUUAGCGUUUCCCUAACUAUUGGGUUUGCUUUUCCUAUAUAUAACCUCUUAUCCAUCCAGGUAUGAAACUCUACAAACCAUAUGUAUGCAUCAGCAGAUUAGCAUACUGUUGGUCGCACACCAUGCAGAUGACCAGGUUUGCAGCAUCUAUUAUAUAUAUAGAUAUCAUGUAUUCAUGUUCAGUUUUACUUUAUUCCUUGUUAUUUUGUAUUAUUGAAGUGCUCAAACAUUAUGUCUAUGCUCCUGGCCCUUAGUCUUGCUCUUGUAUGUAUGAUCCCAGUCAAUGAACGGAAUGACUGAUUUAUGUUUUUAUGAAGCCAACGAUAUGUUUCUCAAAUUUCUAUUUUGAUUCCGUAAAUGUGAAAUAUUUUAAUUGAAACGGGCAGAGUUUGAAUGUCGUAGAAAAUUGUAUUUUGACCUCUAAGUUCUAUAAGCAUAGAAGAAGAGAAAUUAUGAUGACUAACGCACAGGCACAAUGCAGGCGGAGCUGUUCAUUCUCAGAUUAUCUAGAAAUAGUGGUGUUCUUGGUCUUGCUGGCAUGUCAUUUGCUUCACAAAUGUUUUCGCAAUUCCCUGAUUUUUGUGGACAAGAAUCAAAACCUCGAGGCAUUUUAAUAGUGAGACCACUUCUAGACUUCUCAAAAGAAGAUAUGUAUGAUGUAAGUCUUUAUUAGCUGUUAGUUAUGCUAGAUGCUUCUAGCUAUUUUUAUUCAUUUUUUCAAUUGUUUAUUAGUUGCUUUUUGAAGUAGUUACAUAAUUAUUUUUGUUGGUUUUGCAGAUAUGUCGAAGUGGUAAUCAACAAUGGGUUGAAGAUCCGACAAAUAGGAGUCCCGUGUAUGCUCGCAAUAGGAUCAGAAUGUCAUUAAGUAACUUGUCAUCAUGUAAGACAUUAUACCCAUGCUGGUCUUUGAUUAUAAUGGAAAAUGAAUGACAUAUGAUUAGGUAUUGACCACUUAGGAUUUUGUAGGUUACUGCCACUGGAUUGUUUACAUACUUAAACAUACAUAUAAUCAAUGUAUGAGAAGUUUCAUUAGGCUGGCGUUUUCAAUAAUUUGGUGCUAAAUUAGAAAUUAAGUCUGAAGUCUGAUCAUGUAAAGUGCUACAGCUACCAUUUCCGAUAACUGAUUUCAGCUUGGCUGGAUGUGUUAUUUAUUUAUUUUUAUUUGAAGUGUGGAGUGCUGUUAUUAAAUAUUGUCUUCUCUAUUUGAAAAUGGUAAUGAUUAUUUUUAAUAUGCACAGCUAUAUUCAAGAUUGAGUUGCAAGCAACUAUAUCGGCAUGUCGAAGAACCCGAUUGCUUGUUGACAAAUUCUGUAAUCUGUUGCUGAAGCAGGCUGUGACCAUCAUGCAUGUAUGCUCUUUUAUUGACAUGCUUUUGUUUUGUGAUAACAUGCUGUUUUAUUUUGAUUGUCCUCCUAACAUCAAUGCAGCAUGGCUAUGCAGUGAUUGAUCUAGAAACUCUCCGUUCAAUGGAAGUCAAGGAUAUUUACCUCGCAAAGUUUGUUACUUCAGUAGUGCAGGUAUUGCCAAUUAGCAUGAUGCACAUUUCAUACAAGAAUCUCAUUUCAAUUAGUCUAUUUGUUUUGGGUGCAUCAGUUCAUCUCACAAAGACACAGACCAGUUAGAGGGAAGGCGGUGAAAUUGCUACAAAGCUACAUUCGUACUUUCCCAUCCAAGGUUAAUAAUAAUAAUAAUGUAGUUCUCUGCUGCUGCAACACUUUCUUUAAAACGAUUCACCUCUGCUUUAAAACGAUUAACUAAUGAGUUGUUCAUUGGAAUGUUUACAGACUAGUCUGACUGUAGGUGGCUGUUAUCUAUGUCCAGCUCCUGGAUCCAAAGGAACUAAGGUCCUUGUAUGCUGCUCUAUCAAUUUGUCUUUCCCUGUGACUAUGAAGUUGUUUCAUCCGUUUUCUUGCUUUCCGACAAGCGAUUUAGAGCAGAUUGUAAAAGAAAGUGAAGCGUAUUUGGAUAGAUUUACGCCUGAUGCUUAUUCCAGUGCUCCAUUUUCAGACAUGGCAUCAUCCUCUGAGUCUGUGCUAAUCGAAGCCAAACAGCUGGGCAUUCUUAGUCAUUCCACGUAUGAGAGUAUUGUUUCCUUGCAGCAGGAAGAAAGUGAUAAUUUUAAGUCAAAAGCUGAAGCUGUCUCUAAGUUUGCGUCGAAAGAUGAAAUACAAUCUUCAAAUGAUGCAGCAACAGAUUUGAACAAUUUUAUUAUGCCUGGCCAAGUAGGUUACUUCAUGGAUAGAUUUGUAGUAGAUUGGAAGAUGUAUGAUGGAGAAGGAGAUUGUUUUUGCAGCAGUGGUGAUGAGAGGGGGGCAGAGGUGCGCCACAUGGUGGAUGCUGAUUGGUUGUAUCUUUCGGAAUUGUCGAAGAAGAAGAACAAGGCAAAUGUGGGACCACCAGAAGAAAAUAAUCAUGAGACAAUAAAGGAUGAUAAAUGCAGCAGCAGCCAUUAUAGUAUAUUGUCGGCAAGUAGAGCUAUUGAAUGCAUAAAGUCUAUUCCAGUUGCUGCCAGAAGAAGUAUGCCUGUCCUGGUUAACGCUCAAGGACUUGUAUUGAGCAUUCCGGUAUGUACCGAAACAAUUUCUGUUUUACCAAUUAUGUUACAAAACCGAAAAAGGGUUUUUGUUACGGUGUUUGUGUUAUAUACUUGUCUCAGUUUAUUCUUAUAUACAUGUUCUUAUUCUGUGUAUAUAUCUAAAAUAGUAAACUCUUUUGUGUUUGUUGGUUUCAGAGCAUCGGUUUUGCACAAUGCCCUCAUUUGAUGAAGGUGUCUGUUGUGUUCAGUCCUAGGAUACCUCUAGGUGGAGGUCAUACCUCAUUUUUGUAGUUUCGAACAAAUGUGGAAGAGAUGGAAACACAAGGGUACGUGCGGUUGAGAUUUUAGAGUUAGUAGAGAUUUUUACAUUUAUGCUGUACUGUACUAUCAGAUAGUAUAUGAAAUGGAUAGUACUUAUUUGAUGGAGAAAAAACAAUUAAUGCAGAUUUAUCAACAUAUUUGAGGUAGUUGUUCAUUUAUCAGUUCUGUUUCACAUUAAAUGUCAUUUAAGUUGGUAAAAAUAAAUUAAUUUUGCCUUAAAAUCUUAAAGUGACACUUAAUAUGGAAAAAAAGAAAAUGACCAAAGUGACACUUAAAAUGAAACAAAGGUAGUAGUAGAAUGAGAAAGAUACAUAAACAAAAAAAGAAUAAAUAAAUUGAAAAUAAUUAUAAUUGACUAAUGUUAGUUUUAGAAGAAAUCCUUUCAUGCAUAGGAAGGAAAAAGAGUUAACAAGAAAUUAAAUUAAUUGAUGCAUUGAGCCAAAGAGGAAAAUACCAGACACAAGUAGGUCAUUAAGUGCAGUACAACGAACAAGAGAGAAUGAAAUAACAUUGUUGUUUUUUUUUUUCUACUUGUAAUUGAAUGUAAGCAAUUCUUUUUAUAUCACUUUUUCAUUUAUUCUUUUCUUUUUUUGAAAUGGAGUCAAAAGAUAUUUGAUUUUAUAGUUCUAAAGUAUGAACCACCCCUUGAUUGUUGCAACAGCUAAUAAAAAGAGUUCCCCUUGGACUAGGUACGAACAGGAAGGAUGAAAGAGAGUCGGUAUGCUAACUCCUCAUUUACAUUGUCGUAACAAAAAUAUUGAUCUGAUAGUUAUACAUUAAAUAAACUUAGGCCCCGUUUGGUUGCCAAGAUUAACUAAAUAAUAGGACUUUGUUCGAUGUUUGGUAUCCCCAAUAACUUGGCGGGUCGACCCGCAAAAAUUAUAUAAUCAUGGCUUAUCUUGCCUUUUAGGUAGUUUUUUUUGUUGGUCGUAUCGAGCACCAAUAAAAUAAUUGGGUCAUCAUUAGAUUAUUUAGUUAAUCUUGGCUAAUCUUAUCUUGGCAACCAAACGGGGCCUUAAUGUAGAAAUUCAUGUUGAUCUGGAAUCAAAGAAAGAUAGUGCAAAUGACUCCUAUGUUGUGACUUGGAGGAAGGGUUUGUCUCUAGAGGAAAUCUAGGAAUAAGAAGAUUGAAUUCGAAAAAUGGACAAAUUAUUGCCUAGAAUGUAAGUGCAGUGCAGUGAACAAGAGAAAGAAAGAUAUAAUUGAAGAAGUAAGCGAGCAUAUCAAAUUCCAAAUGGCGUGGAGUUCCACAAGCGUUUCAUUCCUUUCCUGUCGAGCCACUUUGAAUCAACAAGGUUGUUAAACAUAGCUAAAACAAUUACAAAACAAACUCAAGUCCCAAAAUUAUUCCUUAUAAUCAACAAGUUGGAUCUUGUAUUUUUAGUGCAAAGAUAAAAGAUUUGGACAAGGCUCUGCUGGUCUGUUCUCAGUGUUCUGGUUCUUAUCAAAACAGAAACAUACUUGAAGUCCUAAGUACAUGAAAAAUACCUACUUUAUGGAAGAAAAAUGAAAUUACAGCCUCUAAUUUAAAAUAAAGGGAUUUGUCCUACAAUUACAUUUUUUUUUUCUCCAAUAAAUAUGCAAUCACACUCCAACAAUAUUGUUUAUUAGUUUACACAACUAGCAUAUUUUAUUAUUUUACAACAUUUUAAUUUUGAGUUAGUUUUAAAAACCAUAUUCCAAAAAUAAUUAAAAGGGCAAAUUACCAAAACCCCCCUGAGGUAAGGCUGAAUAACGAAAAUCCCUCCCAUGUUUGCGUAAUUACGAAAAUCCCCCUGAGGUAUGUUGUCGUCUAACAAAUUUCCCCUACGGUGUUACUUCUAACGGAAUCUUUUUGAUUCCAUGGAAUAUUCCUCUGAAAAUGACAUUCUUGCCCUUGAGAGAUAAAUUGUAAGCAUUUUAAUUACUUAGGGGGUAAAUUGUAAUUUUAAAACUAUAAUGUAUUUCUUCAUUUUAUAAUUAUUAAAAAGAUAAAAUAUAUAUAAAAUAAUUAAAGAAAUCUCGUACCAUUAAAAGUUUUUAUUUGUUUUGUAAUUUUUUUUAUAUAUUUUGUUUAUUCAAUAAAAUCGAGGUUACGCAUUUUUGAAAUAUUCUCGUAUUUCUUAUUUUAUGCUACAAAUAUUUUCAAUAGUUUUUUUAAUAUUAUGGUAAUUGUCAAUAUAUUAUUAUAUUUUUUUCGUCAAAAGUAACACCGUAGGGGGGUUGUGUAAUACUUAAAAAAACGUAGUUAUUUUAAUUUAAAACUAUAAUAUAUUUCUUCAUUUUAUAAUUAUUAAAAAUAUACAAAAAAAUAUAAAAAAUAAUUAAACAUAUCUUGUAACAUAAAAAGUUUUUACCUGUUUUGUAUUUUUUAUAUAUUUUUAUAUUUUUUUGAUUCAAUAAAAUUGAGUUUACAUAUUUUUGAAAUAUUCUCGUAUUUCUUAUUUUACGCUACAAAUAUUUUUAAUAAUUUUUAAUAUUUGUUUAAUUAUAUUUCAAUUUUAAACAAACGAAAUGUAAAAAGUAUAUAUUAAAUAUAAAUAAAUCAUAAUAUUCCCUUGAUUGUUUUUCAAAUAACAAAAGCUACAACGGAAAAAACACAUUUUCUAUCAAUUUAAACGGUCAAACACAGGUCAGAGGGGGAUUUUAGUAAUUAGACUUUACCUCAGGGGGGUUUUCGUAAUUCUUUUAUUUUUUUUACAUAUUUAACAGAAGGGUAUAAUAGACUUUUCACGUUUUCCGUUAAAAAAAAAUCGGUCAACUGUUAGUCAAGGGGGUUUUUCAUAAUUACGACUUACAGUAUAUCUAGCAAACGAUAUAAUUUUGGAAUUACAUAUAUCUAAAACAUACUCGAUCGGUGAUUAGUCUCCGUGGAAUACAACAUCUUGCAAGAAUUUCAGUUGCUUUUGAGGACUUAGAAAAUGAUGUAUCAAUGGCGUCAAUCCUAUCAUCGUUAUCAAUCUGCUGUACUGAUGGCAAUAGCAAUAGUGUUAUUACUACUGUUACCAGCGGCGAUGGGAGAUGAGAAUUCUAGGUCAAUUAUAUCUAGAUUCCAGGAAUACCUCAGACCGAUUUCAUCACCUCCCAAGCCAAGUCCCUCUCAUUGGACUCCCAAAUUUUGGAGUUGGUACCGGGCAAGCCACUUGUUCUCCUCAAGUGGGCCGGCAAUAACCCGUCUGAGUUCAACAAGUGGGACCACCCCCCUUUCGAUGCCCGACGAGGAAAUUGGCGGACAUGACGGCGCUGAGAAGUUCGCGUUGGGAUUGGCUUCGCCCACUCAAAAUUACAGGGUGUUCUACGGAGAGAGGUGCCCCUGGUGGCUUGUAUUGAAGGCUACACUUUACGACAACACUGCCAUGGAGAAUUUACUCAAGAGCAUCGAGACUGUUCGGAGAUUCAGGGCCUCUCAGUUUGAUCUGGUGAAAGCUGGACACAAGGCUGAAGGGGAGGUCAUUUCUGUUAACAUGGUCUUCUUGAAAGCUGGAACUCCUUCUCCUACUGUGAGUCCCAUCUCCAUCUACUGCUUUAACUGCUCUAUAAACCAUUUAUUGCUCUACCCUGUCACAGUGAUGCUUGUGCACUAUGAUUUUGUGCUACUUUUACUAUACAUAUGAUUAUUUUCAUCCACGAAUUGUCAUCUAGCAUUUCUCAUGUCCACAGAAUUUCAAAAUGCAUCUCUUGUAGCAUUUCUCAUGUUAUUCAUUCCUUGUUUUCCUUGUGCUCAUUUUGAAAUUGAAAAAUAUCAUACUACAUGUUUCUUGCUUGUAUGCCAGUUCUUUUAGUUCUCUGCAUUUGAUACAGACACAAUAUGUUUUAGUUCUUUUGGUUCUCUUUUAGGUUUGGACGUUCCAUUUAUUUGUUAUGCUAAGCUUUAUCUUCUCUCUUUAUGUGGAUAAGCAGGAUGAUAUAUUAAUAUAUUAGAACUAAAGCAACACAAUUAUGUAAACUAACAAUCAUCUGUUACCUUUUUAACUAGUUUUCAUGUGUGGCAGGGUUUUGUCAUGAAUUUGCAACCAUCAGAAGCUCAAGCAGGUUUUGAUAUCCGGGUCCCACCAACGGCAGAUGUAGUAUCCUUGGAGAGACGAAUUGCAGAGGAAUGGGCGCCUGCUACUCGUAAUAUGACCUUUGAGGUGAGAAAAUAUACGAAGCCACGUUAUAUCUUUACUGAUGUUGGAUCAGUCAAAGCACUUUUCGGAAAUAUCACUGUUGCUAUAUUUUUUCCGGCUGUAUAGGUUUCUGUUAAUUAUUUUCUUUAGGGGCCAUUCUUGAGGCAAUUAAGCAGAAAGGGCCAAAUAGUGAAACAUCAGAAUAUCAAGUAUUAUGUGUGAAGAUUGGUGUUCACCUGCUUUGACUUUAUGGUUGAGCAUCUGCUUAUUUAUGAUUUUGUAGCCAUCCAUUAGACUGGAGGAAAUAGUGCUUACUGCUUGCCUAAGUUAAUAAAAAUUUCUAUGUUUGUAUAAUAAGUUACCGUUCCUAACGUUUUUGGGAGUUGUGACAGUUCAAGCAGAAGGGAUCUACAUAUAACAAGUUUGGAAAACAAAUUCUUACAGCAUUUGACAGUUCAAAUCCUUGGUGGGCUCUUUUAGAAGAUGCAAUAAAAAGUGCCGAUGGGGAACUUGGAAAACCUGAGAUAUUUCCUGCUUCAACAGAUGCUCGCUAUUUCAGGGAACUUGGAUUACCAGCAAUUGGCUUUUCUCCUAUGGCAAACACACCAAUUCUACUUCAUGACCACAACGAGGUGAAUAUUUCCUUCUUAUCUGCUUUGUGGCUUCAUUUUGUUCGGGUUUUAUUUGCAUGAAGUUAAAGGAUCUUUUAAAUUUUUCAAUGAUUUACCUAACGAUUUAUAUGGCUCAUCAUGGCUGGUAUGCAAUUGAAAGAAUUGAAAUAAAUUAAGUAAUCGUUUGGUUGCACAGUUCCUGAACAAGAAUGAGUACUUGCGGGGGAUUCACAUGUACGAGUCAAUAAUCAAAGCUUAUGCAUCAUACGUUGAACCUACGAAAGAUGAAGCUUCCAGGGCGGAGUUGUAAGGAAGGGAAGAAGCUGGAUCAGUAAAGACAAACCAGCAAUACUUUCCCCACUGAGCACCUCUGUAUGAAUUCCAACUUUUGAGUUGAGUUUGCUUUAGGCCCUAAUCAAUUUGUAAAGCUUGUUGGCUGACAACUAUUUGGACUCGAUUAUAAUACAGUGGCCGACUAGUUUCAUUAAAUUAUUAUAACGAUUUUGAUAUUUUCACCAUAUUUUAAUAAACAUUGUUGGUUUGAAAAAAUGAAUUUUGUGAAAAAAUGUGGUUUUAGAAAUUUGUAUAAGCGAAAUAUGUGAUGAGGGGUAUUUUAGUACUUUGCUAAUAAAAAAAUGAUUUUUGGUAUUAACCUAAAAAAAAUUGUAAAAACUUUGCUAAAAUAUGGUAUUAAACUUGGUGGUACUCAAGUGAGAAAAAUAUGGUACUUGAAAUAGCCGUCCCCAUAAUUCUAUUCACACAAUUCGCUUUAAAAAACUUACUUAUAAAAUAAUUAUUUAUCUAUUGCAAAAGGGGGCAAGAAAUUCAAUUCCAAAUUUUUCUCACUUCAAUACCAACAAAACAAAAAUUAGAUAAUAAAUAGUUAAUGUCAUAAAUACCCUUAAUGAAAAUCAAUAUCACACAAACAUUAAAUCUCAAUUUUCUUUCUUUAAUACCACACAUACAAAACCUCUCUCACACCUCUCCUUCACAAACCCAUCGUCCCCCUUCUUCUUCUUCACAACAAACCCUCCAAAAAAUCUCAAAACUAAAGAAAUCAAAAUCUUAUACAACUUGCAAAAUGGAGUCAAAUGACAACAAAAAUGGUAGUUUACAUAGAAGGAGAACCCAUUAAAGUAUGUAUCCAUGUUUUUUUUGAGCUUGUAAGUCGAAUUUGAAGUUUUUUUUUUGAACUCCGUCGACAAUUUUUCGACGCAUACAGGUCGAAUUUUUGCCAAUUUUGGACACAUACAGGUCGAAUUUUUGCCAAUUUUCGACACCAACUUGUCGAAAAAUAUUAAAAAACAAAAAAAAGUGAAUUUCGACACAUACAUGUCGAAAUUUUACAAAUAUAUAUGUUAUUUGGGAUUGAAUUGUGGUUUUAAACUAAGUGGUAUUGAAAUGAGAAAAAUUUGGGAUUGAAUUUAGCCGCCCCAUUGCAAAAUUGGAUAUCUCUUAUCUAUUGACAAUAAUGAACAAGUAUACGUAUAUUAUAUUUGCAAUUAGAUGUUUAAAUCUUCUUUUAACGAUUAAAUGCGUAGUAUAUAACAUGUUUAUACAUAAGCAACCAACAAAUAGUUUAUAUAAAAAUUGUUUACUAAGUUUUGUAUAGACAAGCAAAAUCAUAAAAAAUCGUAGCUUUUCUAGCAAGAAAUCUCUUUGCUACUUUCUGGAUGGUCAAAGCAGCAGAAUUUCUCCUCCUGUGCCAAUAAAUAUGACAAGCAACUUGCUAAUAAAAUCUACUUUACUUGAGCUAAUAAAAUCUACUUUAUUCAGAAAUAAAGUUGCUUAGGGGAUUUCCCCAACAAUAUCCGAAGCCCUAGUAACAAAUGAAACAAUUUAACUUAAAGAUGAUUAGCACCUAAAACCAAAAUAAUAACCUCAGCUGCAGUUGUUAAAUGGCUCUGAUCUGGUAAUAAAACUUAUAACUAACAUAAAUACCAGUAUUUGAAGAAGAAAAGAAUAAUACAAUAAUAGAAGAGAGAAUUUGAAGAACAAAAACAUGACAGAUGUUUCUUCAAAUCUUUUACACAGAGACAAAAGCAAAGCUUCUACUAAGGAGAUUUUUUCUAGCAACAGUCUCUUUGGAAGAAGAGAGGAAAUGCUCAAACGGAAAACAAAUACAUUUGUCCGGCAAAAUAAGUAUAGAAAUCAAAAUCAGUCAAAAACUUUAUAGUCUUCUUAGGCCCAAUGGUGUCACUGUCGAGUUCAGGCUCUUCUCCCUUUUCCUUAUCUCUUUUUUUGUACUCUUCCUUAUCUCUUCUGUAUUUGUCAAUAUCAGCGCGAUAUAUUUCCAGUAUCACGUGGAGAUUUUUGGUCGUCAUAUGGUGUGGAUGGGGCCGUGCAUGCAAAACACCGAUAUCAUAAACACCAUCUUUACCACCUAAGGAUGUGAUGUAUGGAUAAACUCCACAACCAUAUAUUAGAUCCAUUGGAACUUCUGUUCCAUAAGCAGCAGCAUCUGGAAACCAUGAUAGGGGGAGAUAAUGUAUUUGACCACGAUCUUCACUAUCAUAAGCCAAGUCAGGUGUGAAAUAAACCCCACCAAUGCCUACAAAAUAGCCAUCAUCCAGAGGAAUCUUAAAAUCACGCGAUACUUCCCAUUCUUUGGUACUAGCAUUAAGAUCGAGGACAAAUGCUUCAUUCUCCAUCUGAAUCCGAAAACGCGAGUCGGUCUCAAAUCCAUAAGACCUAAACAAGACCUAAAUAAGACCUCAAGAAGACCUAAACAAGACCUAAAUAAGACCUAAACAAGACCUAAACAAGUCCUAAAUAAAAGAUAAAGAAGACCUAAAAAAGACCUAAACGAAGAACUAAACUAAGACCUAAAGUAAGACCUAAAGUAAGACCUAACCGAAGACCUAAACGAAGACCUAAACUAGACCUAAACAAGACCUAAACUAAGACCUUAAGUAACACCUAAACUAAGACCUAAACGAAGACCUAAACGAAGACCUAAACAAGACCUAAACAAGACGCAAACUAAGACCUAAACAAGACCUAAACGAAGACCUAAACAAGACCUAAACAAGACCCAAACUAAGACCUAAACAAGACCUAAACGAAGACCUAAACUAAGACCUAAACUAAGACCUAAACAAGACCUAAACGAAGACCUAAACUAGACCUAAACAAGACCUAAAGUAAGACCUUAGGGUUUACGUAUAUUGGCUUCAGUUCGAGUUUAUUGAAGCUUGUGUUCAAUUUAGGGUUUAUGUUGGAAAAAAUUGGGUCUUUAAUUAGUGUGAGUUUUUGCCAGUUUGAAGCUUGUAGGUGUUUAUUGAACUGAUAGGUUAUAUUAUAUACGACUUUCUGUAAUUAAUCCAUGAACGUUUCUACUACAGCAGUGGUGGAGUUUUAUCUGUGUGUCCGUCUUUCGGUACUGUUUAGAAAUGGCAAUAUUUGGUAUAUUUGAAAUAACAAGCAGAUCACCAACUAUUUCAUAUCUAGAAAUGCUAUUGUCUAUUUUGGUUGUUUUCUAAUUUCUAUAACUUAUAUAUUCGCAUGCAUCAGACCACUCGGGGGCAGACAUGAUGGAUGAAUUUGGCCGAUUAUUCUAUCUGCCUUCGGUCGGUCAGGUAAAUACUAGGCCGUUUGAGGGUUCUAAUAAAGCAAGAGAAGGAACCACUAUGUCUUGGGAAGACAAGGCUAGUAAGCUUCAACUAACACAGAGGUUCAAGGGUUGUAAUGAAGCAAGAGAGGAAGCCAGUACUAUGCCUGUGAGGUCGAAAGAGACGGCUGUGAGGUUGAAAGAGAAGGCUAUUGAGAUUCAUUUAACUAAGAGGUUUACGGAUAGGGUGUUUUUCUGGCCUGAGUGGCUUAUUAUGAUGCUAUUGGAGCUUAAGAUGGCGAAGAAGGUGCGUCUCGGUGAAAUUAAAGGAGGUGAUUCGGUUAUUGUUGACCUUGAUUCUGAUGGGCAUGUGGUGGUUCUUGGAGGUAGCAGCGGUGCUCCGGCGGAACAGGCUGAGGAACCGGUUGUUGUCUAGAUGUGGGCCCCAUUGCCUUUUUCUGCUUGGUUUGAUUGUUUUUUUUUUUUUUUUUUUUUUUUUUUUUUUUUUUUUUUCUGGCGCUUUGUUGAAGUGCAAAGUUAUGAGUUUGAAAUCCGUUAAGUCCAGAUAAUUUGUUAUUAGAAUUUGAAACUUUAAGCUCAAAGUAUUUUAUCCAAAUUAAAUAGUACCUCAGUGAAAGGUUCAGUUUAAAUUAUUAUCUGGUGAAAGAGUAUGUUCUUCCACUUUAUGCACAUUUAUUUAAAUCAAUUCCAUAACGAGUAUCCUUUUUUCCUGCUAAUAGGCAAUAAGCUGCUCAAUCCAACAUUCUUCCCACAAAUCGGGCAAACCUUCAUAACCGGAACCAGUCUUCUUUAAUUUGUUGCCAUUCCAUCGAUACUUUCCCGUGCAGCUUUUGAUCCAAGUCCAAUAGGAUCCUCGAGAAACCAUCGUCUGGCUGGGCCCUAUGAUGAGCUUGUUUCAGGGCAUUCCACGCUUGCAACAGAGUGUAGUAUGUGCAUGAUAACAGAAAAAAAUAUCUUCACCAAUGUGUGCAUGAGGAGAUAAAUGUUAUACCUAAUGAUGGAGAAAGGAUAUGAUUUGCCGGUCAAUUUUUAGUUCUAGGUGCAUUAUUAGGGCCGUAUAUCAGACGGAUCAGAGCAUAGAAAAAUUUCAAUUAUCUUUUUGGGAAGUAGAAAACUAAUUUCAAUUCCCAUUAAAAAAAUCAAAAAAUCGGAAUUUCAAAAACUUGUAUGAAAAUAUUUGCUCCAUAAUCGCAAAUUUUGGAAUCGGAAUUGGGAAAUUCCAAUUCCUUAGUCGCCUAGAAUACAAAAUACAUAAUAAUAUUGAUAUUAAGAAUUACGAGUAUAAUUUUCGAAAAAAAAAAAUGGAAAUUAAAAUCCGAUUAUUGGUUAUCAGAAUUCACAAUCUAAUAUGUGUUCCAAUUAAUUUAAAAAAAAAAUAAGUAAAAGAAAAAUAAAAUCAGAAAUCGGAACUUUAGGAAUUCAGAAUGAAAAUGGGACUGAUUAGACCGAAAGUAACACUUUUCCCAAGAAAAAGAAAAACUAAUUUUCUCUUCCAAAAAUGAAAGUCUAAUUCCAAUUCAUGUUCCAAACAAAUUCAAGAAAAAAAAAAAUUGAAAAUUAAAAUUUUGGAAAUUGAAAUAAAACUGGUGUUCCCAAAUCAGAAAUGUUUGGAUUUUUUUUUUCUUUUGGAUUGUGGAAAUAUAAUGUUCGGAUUCAAAUCAUCGUAAUUCAUAUAUUCCAUUUUUCAUCCACCUCUAAUACAAGGGGUAAAAUACAUUUCAUUCCUGAGGUUUACAUUCAAAAUCAAAUUAGUCAUGUGUUUUUAAUUACGUUCAAUGUCAUCCGACGUGUACAAUUUCAAUGCCAAAAUAAAAAAUAUUUUACAUAAUCCCCACAUUGCCCUUGAAAAUUUGGGGGACUAAAAUAAAAAUAAGUAUUUUGAUUUAUAAAAAACAAAACAUACUAAAUCCAAAUAAAAAUAUACAUGUUUGGAGUUGAAUACAAAUAUUUAUUUCUUGUAAUUACUUUUGUGCAAAGUUUUUUUAUUGUAAACAUUUAUUUAAUAAAAAAAAUUAUUUAUUAGAUACACAUGGUUCAGUAGAAUAUCAAACAUACAUAAUAAACAUUAUAAUUUUGGAGUAUAGUAUGUUUGAAGCCUAUUUAAUUAUCUUUUAUAAAAUUUGAAAAGUACUUAGAGCUCGUUUGGCUAAACUUAUUUAAAACAUCUUAUAAGCUCAUAUAUCUUAUAAGAUGUUUUAGGAGCUGAUAAGCUGUUAGAUCUUAUUUUAUACACUAAUUUUAAGUGUUUGGAUAUUGAGCUUAUAAGCUAGUAAAUUGAAAUUAAGAUCUUUUCAGAAAAGGUGGGAUGGAGGUACUUUUUUAAAAACAUCUUAUAAGUUUCCUAACAGCUUAUUUAAAAAAACAUAAGAUCUUUUUCUGAAAAAAUUACCAAACAGAUUACAUGAGCGUAUAAGAUGUUAAACAGCUUAUAAGAUGUUUUGAAGAGCUUAUAAGCUCAGCCAAACACUCUCUUAGUUUAUGCAUAAAAUCAAAAAUGAAAAAUAUAAAUUUUGUGAAUCCUGGAAUGUUGUAAUAUUUAUGCUAAAAUAAAUAUAAUAAUUAAAUACAAUAAUUGUUUGUUCAUACAAAUGAGCCUUUAAUCAUUUUCUUGUCUUUUUUGGUCAUUUAAUCCUUUUCAUUUCUUUUCUGGUGCAAAAUUUCUAAAAUAUUGUAUUUUGUUAAGUUCUUGGGGUAUUUAUGUUUAUAAAUAUGUUUUGAGAUAUAUUUAAUUUAUUAUAAUAUUUAAGCAUAAUAAGUAUUAUAAGUAUUCAUAUUAUGAAACUGUCAAAUUAAAUACGUUUCAUUUUCAUCACCAUGUUUUGAAGGGCAAUGUGGGCAUUAGUAAAACAUGUUUGAUUUUGGUGGUGAAAUUGACUGGGAUGACAUUGAAGCAAAUUAGAACUUGAAGGACUAAUUUGAUUUUGAUUGUAAACCUCAGGGAUGAAAAUGAAUUUUAUCCCUAAUACAAGAUACAUAUAUAUAUAAAUGUAAUUUGCAAAACUUUUUUUUUUUUUUGAAUUAUCUUUGGAAAAUAAUGUCGAGGUAGAAAUCGGGAUCACACACAUAUACAUACAUAUAUAAAACAUAGAAUCUUUUGGAAUUCAGAAUGAUAAACGUUGGCUCUAACAUGAAAAUUUUUGUACCAAAAGUUGCACAAUUCAAGAACUUCGUUUCAAUUUGAACCCAAAUAUAAUAUAUAAAAUCAAAUUUUCUCUUAAUUAAUUUUUCUUUGCAACCGUCGAAAACUCUUCAACAUGAUAAACUUUAAUUGUAAAAUAAGUAAUAUUUGGCCUUGCAUUCAUAUUAUAUAAUACAAAAAUAUAAAAAUAAGACUAAUAUGUCUUUCACCGUAAAAAAUGGAACCAUAAAGAUAUAAAAACUUUGAAAAAGAAAACUAACUAUAUCCAAGAUUGAAUAACUAUCGGGUUUCUAAAAGUAAAAUUUGGAAUUACAGACACGCAAAAUGGACAUAAAAUGAAUUGUGAAAGUAAUUAUUAACUUUGCAAGUUUAUUUACAAAUUUUACCAUUAAAUAGUGGUUUUUUUUAUUUCUUUUUCGUUUAAGAAAUGAUGGUGGUGAGAUCAUAUAUGUUGAGUGUAGAUUUUACACUUAAUUUAUACUUUCUUACGGGGAUUUUUAUGUAAAUUUUAUGAAUUAAGGGUUCUUAAUGAUGCUUUAUUUGUAUUUUAGGUGCAAUUUAAAGAUUCGAGAGUUUCGGAGGUGAAAAGAGCGAAAACGGGUCAAAAAUGGGCAAAAACGAAGAAAUCAUGUCGGAGGCUGAAAUUGACCUGAGACGGCUGUAUGAGAUUUAGCCUAAUUCUGGGACGGCCGUCUCAAAUGCUGGAAAUCAAACAGUAGGUUCAAAAAUUCGAGACGGCCGUGUGAGAUUUGAACUGAUUCUCACACGGCCGUGUCAAAACACGCUGAAGAGCAAAUUUGGAGUUCUAAUCACACAAGGAAACCCGGAUCUCAUACCAAGUGAAACACCUAUUUAAAGGAAAACCCUAAGCACGAAUUAGAGGAUCUUUUACACAAUCUUAGAGCGAGAAGAGCGAGCGAACGGAGAGUCGAAGACGAAGACUUGACAAAUCUUCAUCAUAGUUCCUCCAUUAAUUCUCUUUUCUUAAUCUAUGUAUUUUCAUAAUUUUAUGUCGUUUUUCGAGAACAUGAGUAGCUAAACUUUUAAUCUAGGAUUUUAUUGGAACCCUAUGUGGUGAUUCGAACCUCUUUUUUCUAAUAUUAUGCAAGUUUAAUUUCUCGAUUAUUUCUUCUAUUCAAUUUUAUUUAGUGCAUGAACUUAGCUAAUUUAUGUUACUAUGUGUUAUUGUUAGAAUUGCAUCGACAGAUCGUUUUAACAAUUAGAACUAGGAUAGAAGAGCCUUCGAGUAGUUUUCACCGGAUUAGUGUGUUAAUUGCAUGUGGUAUCGUAGACAUAUAGAUAUCGCCUUAGGUAGCCAGUUUCGAGACUUGUUGUUAAUGCUUUAUUCAUGAUUGGUUUGCAUAGACAUAUAGUGAAUCGUUUAUGAAUAAUAGAAUUAUAAUACACGCGACAGCGGGUUAUAAGUAAAUUAGUGUCUCGGGUUAAUAAUCAGAAAUUGAAUUUGCAUAAUAGAGGUUAAAUUGGGUGAAGAAUUAUCGCAUAGGGGGAAGAUAAAAUCCUAGGUCCUUUUUCAUUGAUAUUUUCCCGUGUUUAUUUGCUUUCGUGUUUAGUUUAUAAUUUAGAUUCCAUAAUCGUGACAAACUUGCGUAGGCUGGAUAAAAAUCAUAGUUGUUAGAAUUCGGUACUUAGGGUUAGAUAAUUUGAGUAUUCCCUGUGGGAUCGACAUCCGAUUCUUUCGAGUCCACUUUUACUAUUUGUUUGCGAUACGUGCACUUGCGUGUUAGGUAUUUUGCCCAACAAGUUUUUGGCGCCGUUGCCGGGGAAUACGGCUAAAUUAUAUAUUUAUUCUGAUAUUGAAUUCGAGCAAUUUUUCUUACUUCAGCCAUUUUUAUUUUUGUUUAUUUUUAUUUUUGCAUUUAAUUUUAUUUUUAUUCGUCUCUAGGUACCUUCUAUGCGAAGUGGACGCAAUACGGAUUUAAUAGCUCUAGAUCCUGAAAUCGAGCGGACAUUUAGGCAAGCCAGAAGGAAUCAGCGGUUAGCUCUGAACACUCAAGCAGCAAUGGAUAACCGUAGGAGAGAUGACCAAGGACGUUUGUUGGAUGCAGACGGAAACAUCAUCAACGAGCAAGAAAAUCUCCAGCUCGUUGAUCCGCAACCUCGCCGACCUCAUCAGAGAGCCCUGCACGAGUAUACCGUUCCGACGCUUAAUGGGUUUCAUUCGAGCAUUCAGCAGCCCCCCAUUGAAGCCAACAAUUUUGAAAUCAAAGCGGGACUUCUCACGAUGCUCCAAAACAAUGGUCUUUUCAGCGGGUUAGCCAGUGAAGAUCCGCAUCUACACUUGGUCAAUUUUCUAGAGACGUGUGAUUCGCAUAAGAUGAAUGGAGUUUCACCUGAAGCACUGCAGCUCCGCCUAUUCAAGCACUCUUUGCAAGGAACAGCACGAGAAUGGUUACAAACUCGUGCACCGAACUCCAUAUCAUCUUGGGCCCAGCUAGCACAGUUGUUCAUGAACACAUACAACUCUCCAGCCAAGACUGAAAAAAUCCGGAGAGAGAUCUAAAAUUUUCUGCAAGAAGCCGACGAAGCACUCUUCGAAACUUGGGAGCGGUUUAAACAACUUAUCCGGAGAUGCCCCAAUCACGGACUUCAAGAGUGGCGCCAGCUUCAAAUAUUCUACGAUGGAUUGAUGGAUAAUUCGAGAACUGUGCUCGACUCAGCAGCUGGUGGAAUGUUCAUGAGUCUGACCUAUGACGAAGCUUAUGAGCUUUUGGAGCGGAUUGCAAGAAACAAAUACAUGAGAGCUUCAGACAGGUCAAGCAGCGGAACCAAAAAGACGGGAGGCAUUCUUGAAGUAGACGGGAUUACUGCAAUCACUGCACAACUAGAGAGGUUGACAAAGCAAGUUGCUGCUUUGCAGCCACAACAGGCCAACGCAGUCCAAAGCCCCGAACAAAGCCUAGACGAAACGGAGUCUCUAAAUUACGUGAACAACACAAAUCGUCAACAGAGGAACCCGUAUUCCAAUACAUACAAUCCGGGAUGGAGGGAUCACCCAAAUUUCAGAUGGGGAGGAAAUCAACAAAAUCAAGGUCAAGCACCACAGCAAGUUCAACCUCAGGCACGACCCCAACCAGCUCCCGGAUUCCAAAAUCCACCUCAAGCACCGGCUCAAGGACCCGACCUCGCGGCAAUCCUAGCCCAAUUCAUGACUUCAACUGAAGCUUCCUUCAGAAACAUCGAAACACGAAUGGGCCAGUUUGCAAACCAGCUAAGCGGCAGGCCAGCAGGAUCACUACCUUCAGACACGGAAGAUCCACGGAAAAACACCCACGAACAGUGCCAAGCCGUAAGUCUAAGGAAUGGGAGGCAAUUGGAGGAAGUUCCAAUGAAAGGAGCAACAAGUAAGAAUGGAGAAAAGGAAGCUGAAAAAGAAGUGGUGCAAGAAGUCCAGGCAGAAACUGCAAUUUCGACAGAUGAGCCAGGUGAAAAAGGGGUCGUUGCGCCUAAGCCGACCCCACAGGUACCGUAUCCUCAGCGCUUGGUCAAGGCCAAGCUUGAUUCUUUUUAUAAGAAAUUUCUUGAUCAAUUGAAUGAAUUACAUAUUAAUAUUCCUUUUACUCAAGCUCUUGAACUAAUGCCGCAUUGGGUUAAAUUUUUGAAAGAUAUGAUUUCGAAAAAGCGAAAAUUUGGCCAGAAUGAGAUGAUAGCUUUGACCGAACAAUGCAGCGCGAUCCUCACUCGCCCGCUACCACCAAAGCUUGGCGAUCCAGGUAAGUUCACCAUUCCGGUGGCAAUAGGAGGUAAGUUCUUUGCAAAAUCUCUCAUAGACUUAGGGGCUAGCAUUAAUCUUAUGCCUUUCUCUGUUUUUCAAAGUUUGGGUUUAGGAGAUAUUAAAUUGGUGUCUGUGACUUUAAAGUUAGCGGAUAGAUCUCUUAUAUACCCAAAAGGCAUUGUAGAGGAUGUGUUAGUUAAAGUAGAUAAAUUCAUCUUUCCUGCAGAUUUUGUAGUUCUUGACAUGGAAGAAGAUAAGGAAAUUCCUUUAAUUUUAGGGAGACCUUUUUUGAGAACAGGGAGAACUAUAAUUGAUGUUUAUAAUGGUGUUUUAUCUAUGUCUUUGGGAGAUGAGACAAUUAAAUUUGAUGUUUGUCGCACAAUGAAGCACCCACAAGAAGUCGAUGAAUGUUUUGCUUUUGAUAUUGUUGAUCACUUGAAUUAUAAUUGCAUUGACUCUUUAAUGGAGGAUCCCUUGGAAGCAUCUUUGGUUGCAGGUACAGAAGUUGAGAAAGAAGCAGUGGUUGAACAACUCUACUGGCUAGAUUCGGCAAAACCACUGCCGAGGCCCCGCUUUGAAAGCUUGGGCACCUAACUCCCACUCUCUAGCACUUUUAAACCUUCGGUGAUCGAACCCCCAAAACUUGAACUUAAAGUUUUACCUUCUCAUCUGAAAUAUGUUUAUCUUGGAGCUCAUGAUACCUUACCUGUAAUUAUUUCUGCUUCUUUGACAGGUUUGCAGGAAGAACGACUUUUGGAUGUCUUGAGAGAGCACAAGUUAGCCAUUGGAUGGACUAUCGCCGACAUCAAAGGCAUAAGUCCAACUUUGUGCAUGCAUAAAAUUAUUUUGGAGGAAGGGCACAAAUCAUCAGUUGAGCAGCAGAGGCGGUUAAAUCCCAUCAUGAAGGAGGUCGUCAAAAAGGAGAUCAUCAAGUGGCUCGAUGCAGGUAUUAUCUUUCCUAUAUCCGACAGCGCAUGGGUUAGUCCGGUACAAUGUGUGCCUAAGAAAGGGGGGAUGACUGUAAUUAAAAACGAAAAAAAUGAAUUAAUCCCUUCUAGGACAGUAACGGGUUGGCGUAUUUGCAUGGACUAUAGAAAAUUGAACAAAGCCACUAGGAAAGACCACUUCCCUUUGCCUUUUAUUGAUCAGAUGCUUGAUAGGUUAGCUUGUCAAGAAUUUUAUUGUUUUUUAGAUGGGUAUUCCGGUUAUAACCAAAUCGCCAUAGCCCCCGAGGACCAAGACAAAACCACUUUUACAUGUCCUUAUGGUACUUUUGCUUUUAGACGUAUGCCUUUCGGUUUAUGCAAUGCUCCGGCCACUUUUCAGCGUUGCAUGAUGGCAAUUUUUACGGACAUGGUAGAAUGUGGUCUUGAAAUUUUUAUGGAUGAUUUUUCUGUUUUCGGUGAUACAUAUGACACUUGUCUCCAAAUGCUCGCUAAGGUUCUUCGCAGGUGUGAAGAGACAAAUUUGGUGCUCAACUGGGAAAAAUGUCACUUCAUGGUGCAAGAAGGAAUCGUGCUAGGACACAAGGUGUCAAAGAAGGGUUUGGAGGUCGAUCGAGCCAAGAUCGAGACAAUCGAGAAAUUACCUCCACCAAUUUCAGUGAAGGGAAUUCGUAGUUUUUUAGGCCACGCGGGAUUCUAUAGGCGAUUCAUCAAGGACUUCUCAAAAAUAGCCAAGCCUCUUUGCAAUUUGCUCGAGAAGGAGGUUAAGUUUGAUUUCAACGAUGAAUGUCUCAAAGCUUUUGAAGAGUUAAAAAAGAGGUUAGUCACUGCCCCCAUUAUUAUUGUACCUGAUUGGAAUGAGCCGUUUGAACUUAUGUGUGAUGCUAGUGACUAUGCGGUAGGUGCGGUUUUGGGUCAUAGAAAGAACAAAAUUUUUCAUUCAAUUUACUAUGCUAGUAAAACUCUAAAUGAUGCUCAAUUGAAUUAUACAACUACUGAAAAAGAGUUGCUUGCAUGCAGUGGUUUUUGCUUUUGAAAAAAUUUAGGUCUUAUCUUAUAGGCACUAAAGUAAUUGUUUUUACCGAUCAUUCGGCUUUGAAAUAUUUAAUUGAGAAGAAAGAUGCGAAACCUAGACUAAUUAGGUGGGUCUUGUUGCUUCAAGAGUUUGAUUUAGAAAUUCGCGAUCGUAAGGGUAGUGAGAACCAAGUAGCCGAUCAUUUGUCUAGGCUAGAGAAUGAAUUGAGAGAUAAAAUUUGCAUUAAUGAAAACUUUCCGGAUGAGCAAUUACUUGUUGUGAGUGAUCAAGAAAUACCAUGGUAUGCUGAUUUUGUGAAUUAUUUAGUUAGUCGUGUCUUACCACCUGAGCUUACUUUUCACCAACGGAAAAAGUUUUUACAUGAUGUGAAUUACUACUUUUGGGAAGAGCCCUUUUUGUUUAGACAGUGCAGUGACUUGGUGAUUCGGAGAUGUGUACCGGAGAUUGAGCAAAAGGAUAUACUUUUCCACUGCCAUGGUUCGGACUAUGCGGGACAUUAUGGAGGUGAGCGAACGGCAAGAAAGGUGCUCCAGUCAGGUUUCUUUUGGCCUACUCUUUUUAAUGAUUGUCACAAAUUUGUUUUGAGUUGUGAUAGAUGCCAGCGUGUGGGCAAUAUUUCUCGGCGGCACGAACUCCCAUUAAAUACAAUGAUCGAAGUUGAGCCCUUCGAUGUAUGGGGGAUUGAUUUUAUGGGACCUUUUGUCCCGUCUUUCAAUAACCUGUACAUCUUGGUGGCCGUCGAUUACGUAUCUAAGUGGGUUGAAGCGGCCGCCUUUCCUACUAAUGAUUCUUCAGUGGUUUGUGCGUUCCUAAAAAGACAGAUUUUUACUCGAUUUGGAACACCACGAGCAAUUAUUAGUGAUGGAGGCACCCACUUUUGCAACAAGCAGUUCGAAGCACUUUUGGCCAAGUACGGAGUAAAGCACAAGGUCGCAUUGGCCUAUCACCCACAGACAAACGGGCAAGCCGAAGUCACGAAUCGGGAAAUCAAAAACAUCCUUGAAAAGGUUGUUAGCCCCACAAGGAAGGAUUGGUCGAGAAAAUUAGACGAUGCACUGUGGGCGUAUCGUACAGCUUACAAGACUCCUCUUGGAAUGACUCCGUUCCGAUUAGUCUACGGAAAGGCGUGCCAUCUACCAGUUGAGUUGGAGCAUAAUGCGUUCUGGGCCAUUAAAAAGCUUAACUUCGAUCUUGACGCAUGUAAGGAGAAACGAAUGGUUCAACUCAAUGAACUUGAUGAAUUGCGGUUGAAUGCGUACGAGAGCAAUCGAAUUUACAAGGAGAAAACCAAGAGGUGGCACGACAAUAAGAUCUUGCAUCGGGAAUUUCAAAAAGGGCAAUCGGUGCUACUUUACAACUCUCGUCUCAAAUUAUUCCCGGGUAAACUAAAGUCAAGAUGGUCAGGGCCAUUUACCGUGCUCGACGUAUUUCCUCAUGGUGCAAUCGAAUUAUUGGAUCCCACUACCGGAAAAUCGUUCAAGGUCAAUGGGCAGCGCCUCAAGCAUUAUUGGGGAGGAGAAUUGGAUCGACAAGUGACGUCCGUCACUUUUGCUUGAACAAAGAAGCAAUCGAAGUCUAGCUGAAGACUAUAAACUUAGCGCUUCUCGGGAGGCAACCCGCGAUUUUAAUGUUUUUCGUUUUCUUUUUCUAGCUUUUAUUUUUCUUUUUUUAGGAUUUUAUAAGCAUGCAAACUAAUUUAAUCAUAUACAAAUUCUCAGGUCGAAAACGCGAAAUCGGAGCCCAGACGGCCGUCCCAAAAAUCAAGGAAGGUUUGAGAUUUUCCAAAAUUCUCCAAAACCUAGUUCUUCAAAGCACGCACACAAGGUGUUCGACAGUUUGUCCGAACCAAGUUUGGGGAAAUUUUCCGCGUCGAAUCGUCUCCAAUACUCUCCUAAUAGUUUUCAAAGCAAUCUCACAAUCAUGUCUUCCACCAAGAGAUUGAGGGAAGCCGAACCUUCCGGGCAAAACAAGAAGAAGGGCAAGAACACCGCCGAGGUUCCGAGGCCCGAUGACGAUGCAUUUUGCGUGGAAGGGUCGGACGAGCUCUUUCAAAAACAAAGCUCCAAGAAAAUGGUCACCGAGCGAGCAUACUCCAUCACAUUGGCACAAUUCGAACCGUUGAAGCAAGAGUUUAUGAGACGAGGGUGGCAAUCCUUGUUAGAGCCGGAGGGAUCCUACAAUCUCUCACUUGUUCGAGAAUUUUAUGCCAACCACCGAGUCCACCAAACUAAAGAUCGCACGACAAGCACGGUCCGAGGGAAGAAAGUCGAUUGGGGAGUCAAAGCCAUCAACUCUUUCUACAAACUCAAAGGUGAUGCUCGCAAAUGGGAGGAAAUGCGAGACGAAGUAACACAAGCUCAAAUCGGUGAAGUUUUAUGUGACGGCCCACCCAUUUGGACCGAAGGUGCUACCGACACUGACUUCGAGAUAGAUUGGAAGUGCAUUCACCAAAUCGGCAAGGCGUGUCUCACCUUUGUAUGCGCCAACUUUAUCCCGACCCGAGCCUUGAGUCACAUCAAUCAAGAAAGGUGUGCCCUCGCCUACUACAUUCUUAAGGGGACUCCCGUCAAUGUCGGCGACAUCAUUAGCGAUCAAUUUUGGACAUCCAUGACCGACAACUCCAAGGGUUUCUACUUCCCUUCCCUUGUGACCGGAUUAUGCAAGAAGGCUAAGGUUCCGGUUAAACCGACGGAUAUCGACCAAAGCAUCCGAGAUCCCAUUAGUGACCGAGCGGCCCGCCAAUUCAAGGCGCCCAUUUACGGCCCACCACUCCAAGUUCCGGAUGCCGCUCCGCAAGAAGGUCCAAGCACAAGUUCGGAUCGCCGAUUUCAGAAACGAAUGGAGCGAGAGGCGGUGAUUACUCGCAACCGAUUGACCACCCUAGAGCACAGAGUGAGCACGCUUGAGUCACUACAAAAGUGGUCGGGAAAAAUGCUUCAAGCUCUCGUACGUCAUCUACUAUGUGGUCAACCCGAGAUAGAUGAGCCGGAACCUUUGCCGGCACCGAUCCUUGAGCCAGUACCUGAGCUUUCGGACGAUGAGGAUGACGGUGGUCCACACGAGCGAGAUGGAGGAGCGCAGCCCGGCGAUGGGCGUGCCGACUAGUCAGGUGUUUUCUAUCCUUGAACUUUGUGCUAAUUACAUUGAGGGCAAUGUAAAUUUUAAGUUUGGGGGUGGGAAAUUACUUGUUUUUAUGUGCUUUAUUUGUUUUUAGUUUGCAUGCCUUAGGAUUUCUUUUUUUAGUUUAGUUUAUUUAGUUUAUUUUUUUUUAUAUAUAAAAAAAAAAAAAAAAAAAAUUGCUUAGAUGAAUGCAUUGAUGAAUCAUGAUGAUGGGAGAUGGUUGAUGUUUGAUGAUGAAUUUACUUGCUUUGUUGUGAUUAUGAUCGAAUUUUGGUGAGCUUUCGAUUCAAAGUGUCUUAGGAAUGAGUCAUUGUUACGAAUCACGAUUUAUGCAUUGCUUUGGUUGAAAGUUUUGUGUUUUAAAAUUGGAGUUAAUUUAUGCUACAUCAUAUGGUGUUCGGUUUUAGAACUCACCUUAGCAAUUUGCAAAGUGAAGUAUUGAGUCGUUGAGUCAAUUGGGAGAUGAUUUGGGCCUUCUUUGAACCGUUUGAGCCUUUCAAGCCUACCUUUAAUUCUUUUAUCCAUAGAACCUUGAUUGAGCCUUGUAGAAACGGUGUUCUUUCAUUUAGCCAUGAUUAAACGGGUAGAAUAGGUGGAGUUUCUUAGAUAUAUCCCUUGGAGUAUGGUCGAGAAAAAAAAAAAAAAAAAAAAAGAAUAACGAUGAAUUCUUCUUCUUCUUCGAGAAAAAAAAAAAAAAAAAUAAAAAAUUGAAAGGAUCUUCGAUUAGAAAAAAAAAAUGAGAAGAAGAAGAAGAAGAAAUAGAAGGGAAGGAAAGGACUUGAGCAAAAUCUUGAAAAAAUCGAGUAAGUAAUAAGUCCUUAGAGGUGAUGUAAUAAUUCCAAAAGCAGAGUUUUGGCGAAAACACCUCAAGUCAAGAAGAACGUGAAAAAUUCCUUUAGUGCAACUCUUAGUCACUAAAUGUAGAUCAAAAGGAGAAGAGUAGCCACUUUUACCCAUAAUUUAUACCUUGUACCAAAAGCCCAAUAUUUGAAAGCCAAAAAGUCCCAAUGAUCCCAAUAUCUCAAUUAUUUGAUAUUAACCGAGUAAAGAAAUUUGGUGAGUCUUUGGAGUCAAAUAUUAAUAUGUAAGCAUAAAUUUUCUCCAUUUUUAGAUUACAAAUAUGGGAUACUUGAAGCGAGAGCAUGUUUUGUGGUUUUUAGCAAUGGUAAGUUAAUAAGUAUCUUUGAGUUGCGAGCUUGCAAAGUUUUGAGAGUUUUCAUGAUAAUUACAAGUUCUGAAAACGUAAAAUCGACCAUUGAUCUAUGUGAUGAGGUGCAUUUGUUAAUUGUGUUGCUUUGAAUUGUUGCUAAUUUUUGCUUGAGGACACGCAAAAGUUCAAGUUUGGGGGUGUGUUGAGUGUAGAUUUUACACUCAAUUUAUACUUUCUUACGGGGAUUUUUGUGUGAAUUUUAUGAAUUAAGGGUUCUUAAUGAUGCUUUAUUUGUAUUUUAGGUGCAAUUUAAAGAUUCGAGAGUUUCGGAGGUGAAAAGAGCGAAAACGGGUCAAAAACGGGCAAAAACGAAGAAAUCAUGUCGGAGGCUGAAAUUGACCUGAGACGGCCGUAUGAGAUUUAGCCUAAUUCUGGGACGGCCGUCUCAAAUGCUGGAAAUCAAACAGUAGGUUCAAAAAUUCGAGACGGCCGUGUGAGAUUUGAACUGAUUCUCACACGGCCGUGUCAAAACACGCUGAAGAGCAAAUUUGGAGUUCUAAUCACACAAGGAAACCCGGAUCUCAUACCAAGUGAAACACCUAUUUAAAGGAAAACCCUAAGCACGAAUUAGAGGAUCUUUUACACAAUCUUAGAGCGAGAAGAGCGAGCGAACGGAGAGUCGAAGACGAAGACUUGACAAAUCUUCAUCAUAGUUCCUCCAUUAAUUCUCUUUUCUUAAUCUAUGUAUUUUCAUAAUUUUAUGUCGUUUUUCGAGAACAUGAGUAGCUAAACUUUUAAUCUAGGAUUUUAUUGGAACCCUAUGUGGUGAUUCGAACCUCUUUUUCUAAUAUUAUGCAAGUUUAAUUUCUCGAUUAUUUCUUCUAUUCAAUUUUAUUUAGUGCAUGAACUUAGCUAAUUUAUGUUACUAUGUGUUAUUGUUAGAAUUGCAUCGACAGAUCGUUUUAACAAUUAGAACUAGGAUAGAAGAGCCUUCGAGUAGUUUUCACCGGAUUAGUGUGUUAAUUGCAUGUGGUAUCGUAGACAUAUAGAUAUCGCCUUAGGUAGCCAGUUUCGAGACUUGUUGUUAAUGCUUUAUUCAUGAUUGGUUUGCAUAGACAUAUAGUGAAUCGUUUAUGAAUAAUAGAAUUAUAAUACACGCGACAGCGGGUUAUAAGUAAAUUAGUGUCUCGGGUUAAUAAUCAGAAAUUGAAUUUGCAUAAUAGAGGUUAAAUUGGGUGAAGAAUUAUCGCAUAGGGGGAAGAUAAAAUCCUAGGUCCUUUUUCAUUGAUAUUUUCCCGUGUUUAUUUGCUUUCGUGUUUAGUUUAUAAUUUAGAUUCCAUAAUCGUGACAAACUUGCGUAGGCUGGAUAAAAAUCAUAGUUGUUAGAAUUCGGUACUUAGGGUUAGAUAAUUUGAGUAUUCCCUGUGGGAUCGACAUCCGACUCUUUCGAGUCCACUUUUACUACUUGUUUGCGAUACGUGCACUUGCGUGUUAGGUAUUUUGCCCAACAAUAUACAUAAGAGAUGAGGGACUAAAAUGAUGCAUUCUAGCAAUGAGGGACUAAAAUGAUGCAUUUUAGAAAGGGUUAAUAGCAUUUUGCCCCCCAGACUUUGAUGUGUUUUGCACAUCACCACCUAGACUAAAAAAAGUUGCACGAUGCCCCCCCAAACUCUAUUAUUUAGAGCACCCAUCACAUUCUUCACCUGAAAUGCGAGUGUGCCAAUCAGACGUGAAUUUUCAGGGGCAAAAUUGUCAAACCAACUAAUUUUAUUGUAUCCAUCUCCCCGUCAUCAUCUUCUUCAUCACCUUUCACUAACCCAUUUCUGUUGGAAGUUGAUAAGCUAGAUUCAUUUCAAGGUAUUGAAGACUCUAGAAUUUUCUAGAGAAUGAAUGUGGACAAUGCAUGAAUGUGUCUCUUGGUUUGAUUCAUGUAUUUAAUUAUCGUAUUUAAUUAGGGAGUUAUAAUCUUAUUUAUUGUUGGGUUCAUGUAUUAUGUCUAGAUACAUGCUAGGAAAAUAGUAUAAAUAGCUAUGUAGUUUUUCAUUUGUAAGUGUGUCAAAAACAAGAAGAAGUCUAGUGAGAAAAAGAGAGUCUUGAGUGAGUUUUUUGUAAUAGGGUCGAUUGAGUGAGAAAUAUAAUAUAAGUGUGUGUUUUAUCUCCUCUCCACUACUCCUCCUCUCUACUUUGAUUUUAUUCCGCUGCGUGUUUAUCACUCUAUAUAUUUAAAUCGAUCCAACAAAGUGGCAUCAGAGCCACGUUUUAGAGAAGAGAAAACGAUGGCAAACUCAAGUGCAUCUUUCCCAUUCCAAAAGCUCGCGAAAGAAAACUAUGAUCGGUGGAGCAUUCAAAUGAAGACUUUUCUUGGUGGACAAGACGUUUGGGAAGCCGUUGAAGAAGAAUAUGUAGAACCGGAGAAUUUGGCUUCGGCAAGCCAAGCCCAAAAGAAGACCGCAAAAGAAGCAAUGGUGAAAGAUCAAAGGGCUCUUUCCAUCAUCCAACUCGCCGUAGAUGAUAGUAACUUUGAGAAAAUUUCUCAAGCUACUACGGCGAAACAAGCGUGCGACAUUCUUAGCGAUGCUUUCAAAGGCGUCGAUAAGGUGAAGAAGGUACGACUCCAAUCACUUCGUGGAGAAUUCGAGUCGUUGAAGAUGAAAGACUCCGAAGAAGUUUCCGACUACGUCUCAAGGGUGGUUUUGAUCGUUAACCAACUUGAGAGAAAUGGUGAGAAAAUGGAAGAACAAAGGGUCGUCGAGAAGAUACUUCGAUCCCUUACUGAGAAGUUCGACUACAUCGUCGUGGUAAUCGAAGAGUCUAACGACGUUGAUAGUCUUAAGGUGAACGAGAUAUUGGGCAAAUUGCAAGUCAUGAAGAGAAGAUCAAAAGGCGAAACAAAGGGCCCGAAGUAGAGCAAGCCCUUCAAGCAAAGACGAACCACUCCGACCAACCGAAAUAAGAUGGAGCUCGUUUUCGAGGUAGAGGUAGAGGCCGUGGUCGAGGACGCGGUCGUGGUCGUGGUAGAGGUCGUGAAGGACAAGUCUCUCACAACAAUGUCGAGACUAAACAUGAGAAUCGACCAACAAGAAGUCGUGGAAGAGGUGGCUUCAAUCGACGUCAAGACAAGAAGGAUGUCGAGUGUUACAAUUGUCACCAAUAUGGACACUUUGCAUGGGAGUGUCGAAAUGAGUCAAGUGAGGAAAAGACUCAUUAUGCCGAAGAAGCGAAGAACGAAGUUGAAGGCUUAUCCCUAAUGGCGUGCAAAACAACGACGGAGGAGAAAGAUAGCUUGUGGUAUCUUGAUUCGGGUGCGAGCUGUUAGGAUAGUAGACUAAAAGCCUAGCUUUUAUCUAUGUAAACAAUUUCCUUUUAAAUUAAUAAAACUUUAUUUUAUUUUUCGAGAAUUGCAUAUUGGAUAUUAAUUGCAUUUUAAUUAGCUUGUUGAUUAUUCAAUAUAUUUUAAUGCAUGGUCCUUAUAUUUCAAUAGUACUCGAAUUGGUGUCCUGACUUAGAUGUAGGGCACAGAAGAUCUUUUCGAGAGUUCUUUUGAAAUAUUAAGAUAUAAUGUUCACAAUCUUUAAUGGAAUUGGACAAACCAUUAGAAAAGAUUGUAGUGCAAUAUUUAAGUAAUUUAUCUUAAUUACGGUAAACGGAUAAUAACUUUAGUAGUUAUUGUUUUGACUUAUUGCACUAGCACACCCGGCAUGUGUUGAACAUGAAGAAGUGAAAUGAUCGUCUCGUAGAUGUUAAAUCGAGAUAAUAUCAUUUCUAGGGUUUUCAGAAUAUUAUUUGUUUCUCUCAAUCCCUAGAUAAUUAAUGUACAUAUUUAGUUGAUUGUCUCCACUUUGAUAUUCCAAUGGGAGAGACUCCUUUUUGUGAGUCAAGCGAUUCCCGGAUCAUUGGGUGGAGAGACUCCUUUUUGGGAGAGUGCAUUGCGAAGAAGGAUGUUUAAGUGAAGUUCGUGAAAUCGGAAGAUCAAAUUGCCGAUAUCUUCACGAAGCCCCUCAAGAGAGAGUUGUUCGAAAAGUUAAGGAGUCAACUUGGAAUGCGAGAAUCAAGCUUAGGGGGGCGUGUUGGAAGUUGAUAAGCUAGAUUCAUUUCAAGGUAUUGAAGACUCUAGAAUUUUCUAGAGAAUGAAUGUGGACAAUGAAUGUGUCUCUUGGUUUGAUUCAUGUAUUUAAUUAUCGUCUUUAAUUAGGAAGUUAUAAUCUUAUUUAUUGUUGGUUCAUGUAUUAUGUCUAGAUACAUGCUAGGAAAAUAGUAUAAAUAGCUAUGUAGUUUUUCAUUUGUAAGUGUGUCAAAAACAAGAAGAAGUCUAGUGAGAAAAAAAAGAGUCUUGAGUGAGUUUUUUGUAAUAGUGUCGAUUGAGUGAGAAAUAUAAUAUAAGUGUGUGUUUUAUCUCCUCUCCAGUCUCCACUACUCCUCCUCUCUACUUUGAUUUUAUUCCGCUGCGUGUUUAUCACUCUAUAUAUUUAAAUCGAUCCAACAAUUUCCUCCAAAUUGUAUCUCCCAAUUGUCUAGAUGAAUCUCACUCUCCCGCCUCUUACUUUACAGACGCACACAACACACAGUAAUUUACAGAACUUUCUUUUGGUAAGAACGAGCCUACUCAGACCCAUUACAAGAUGCUCGUUAACAAAAUCCUCCAACAAUGUUCUUCUUCCCCACCCACUGAACAAAAAGUCAAAAUCCUGCCCAUCCUUUCCUCAAAACCCCAUGUAGUACACAUCAACAUCAUCAGAUUUUCUUGUCAAUUUCCUCAGUAAAACACCCGUAAUUUCCCCCCAUUUCCAGUACCAUCUGCAAUUCUCACUUAACAGCACAAGGAAAAAGAAGACAAUCCCAAAAGUCUUUUCUCCUACAUUCAAUUUAUUAUUAUUUUUUUUUAUAACCACAUUCGUUGAACAUUGCUCGACAAAUGCCGUCGGGAAAAAUUGUCAGAUGCGUUGGCCAAAUGUGUCGGAAGUGGGUUUGGAUAUUUUGGUGAUAUACAUGUUAAUAAAAUUGGUGCUCUGUUGGUGGGGCGGUGGUCUGACGAUGAAAAUGUUGGUGAACUGAUAAAAUUAGUUAAUCAAAUGGUGAAGAAUAUGAUGAUGUGGCAGACCAUGAUUGGUGGAUAAGAUAAAUAAGUGAAUUGACAAUUUUACCCCUGAAAAACACGUGUGAUUGGCACACUCGCAUUUCAGGUGGAGUUUUGGUCGGAAAUGUUCGUCGGUGCUCCAAAGUCCAAAUAAUAGAGUUUAGGAGGCAUUGUGCAACUUUUUUUAGUUUAGGAAGUGAUGUGCAAAACGCGUCAAAGUUCGGGAGGCAAAAUGUUAUUAACCCUUUUAAAAAUGAGAGACUAGAGUGGAAUUGACUAGCAAAGAGAUUUGGCCUAUAUAAAUAUAUAAUCUGCCCGCACUAAAACAUAACACAGAAACCCUAGCUCAAAGAUCUGCCCCCUCGUUUUGGAAAAUUCCGGCCGAAACUUCAUAGGGCCUCUUUUUAUUUUAAGGUACCGUAUUUCUCCAUGCUCCUUUUUUAAUUGUUUGAUAUUGGUGUGCCAUUCAUUUAGGUCAGAUAUAUUUCUGUUCUUCGCCCAUUUUACGUAUAUUGGCUUCAGUUCGAGUAAUGCGACUCUCGGGUUUAUUGAAGCUUGUGUUUAAUUUAGGGUUUAUGUUGGAAAAAUUUGGGUCUUUAGUGGGAGUUUUGCUAAAGAUCUAGACUUGAGAUCUAGACUUGAGAUGAUUAUAAAGAUCUAGACUUGCCGCCACAAUGAUACGAAUUAGAAGCUAUUGUUUUUCUGCGGUGCUGGUCAAUUGUAAUAGGAUUUGAGUUUCGCCGUGGUUUUGGCUUUAUGAUUGCUUCCUUUGUUGUUAGAGUUUGAAAUGAUAUCAGUUUCAUUCUAAUUUGAGAAAAUGCCUGCUGACUCCUUAAUUUCAGAUAUUUGAAAAAAAAAAUGUUUUCUUUUAAAACAGAAUUGGAUGCUUGUAAGAUUGUUUACAUUGUUGAACCCGGAAACAAAAUUAGUCUCUGCAGAUAGCAUUCUAAAAGCCUCUCAUUAUUUGAAAUAACAAGCAGAUCACCAGUGCUGUAUUUGUUGGUAUUCUGUGGAUGUUGAUGCAUUCAUUUUGACUAUUUCAUAUCUAGAAAUGCUAUUGUAUGUUUUGGUUGUUUUCUAAUUUCUUUAACUUAUACGCAGACCACUCGGGUGCAGACAUGAUUGAUCGUUUUAUCCACAAUAGGAUGUUCAGGGAUUAUAAUGAAGCAAAUAAGGUGAGGUUGAACGGGAAGUAUAUUGAGCUUCAAUUAACUCGGAGGUUUAUGGCAGAGGUGGUUAUGUUGCCUAGUCCGCUUGUUAAGUGCAUUUUGGAGAAAAAUAUGGAGGAGAAGAUGCGUGUCGGUGAAAUUAAAGAAGGUGAUUCGGUUACUGUUGACCUUGGUUCUGAUGGGAAGAUAUUGGUUCUUGACAGUAGAAGCGGUACUCUGGCGGAAGAGGCUGAGGAAGGUAGCAGUGGUGCUCCGGCAGAAGAGGGUGAGGAAGGUAGCAGUGGUGCUCCGGCAGAAGAGGCUCCGGCAGAAGAGGCUGAGGAACCAGUUAUUGUCUAGAUGUGGGCCCCAUUGUCCUUUUUCCUGUGGUGUUUAUUUAUUAUUAUUUUUUUAUCGUUCUGGCUAUGUUGAGGUGACUGUGUAGAGCCAGUGCAACGAGAAUGAUUUAGAGUGCUCUUUAACUUCAGAAUCGUUCUGGCUGUGUUGAGCUGACCUCCCAAUUGUUAUAGUAGACUAAAACUUUCCUAUGUAAACAAUUUAUUUUUAAUAAAAGUUUAUUCGUUCGAGAA
rnacentral:lncRNA from 1 species